rnacentral:lncRNA from 1 species
UGUUUUUGAUGAUAAUAAACAAGAAGGGGGAGCAAUUUGUGGAAUCAUUCUUUAAAUACAUGAAAUGUUUGUCAUCAUCAAAAAGGGGGAGAUUGUUAACAUAUAUGUUUCUAUAAUGUUGAUUUUGAUGAUAACAAACAAGAUUAAGAAUGAUAAAUCUUUUAAGCUCAAAUUAUUUUUUAUACAUUUUAAAUAAAUCAUUAUUUUUACAUUAUAAAGGUUUUAUAUUUAAUGGAAAAAUGAUUUUAUGAAAUUGAUUGUUUUUAUUCUUUUUAAAUAAAUCAUUAUUUUCACAUUAUAAAUGUUUCAUAUUUAAUGGAAAAAUGAUUUUAUGAAAUUGGUUGUUUUUCAAAGUUUAUGGUUUAAUUGAAAGAAUUUUGAAAACUUUGAAAUAAACAAGUAUUGCUUGAAAUUUUGGAGAAGGACUUAUUUGAAAAGUGUCAUAGCAUUUUAGGCUAUACCAUAAUUUCAUAAAGUUUUGGGAUUAACAAAGCAUUACAUAGAAAUUCUGAAAUUGGACAUAUUUAUAAAGUUUUAUAACAUUUUGGGCCGUAAUAUAGUUUUAUAAAGUUUUAGGGUCAAACUGUAAAUUUAAAAAACAUUUCACUGUAGCAGUUACUAUAGAAAACGGCGAUCCGACAUCUUGAUAAUGGCUCGCCGACAUCUAACAGAAUUGAAGAUUAGCCUCUGGACCUAAACGGCGAUCUGACAAUUGUUAUAAACGGCUCGCCGAUAUCUAACAGAACUGAAGAUUAGCCUCUGGACCUAAACGGUGAUCCGACAUCUAGAUAACGGUGAUCCGACAAUUUGAAAAAUCAGCCCAACGGUCAUAUUGACCAGUCAAUCGGCGAUCCGACAUCUAGUUAACGACGAUCUGACAGUGUGCAGAAAGUCAAUAACGGCUAGUUUUUAGCUCCAUUUAUAAAUAAGCUCAAUCCAAUUCAAACAAAGAGAGAUCCAAGAGUUAUCAUUGAGCUUGCCAUUGAGCAUAAAAUUAUUAUUGAGCUUUGAACUUGUUUUUAUUUCUUUGAUUCACACAUUGAGCAUUCAUUUGUAAUCAAACACAUUGUGUGAGAGAAAAUUCAUUUGUAAUAUUUAUCCUUGAGAGGUUGUAAGUGUUAGAAUACACUUGGGUUAGGAGAUUGGCGAUAAUCUCUUGUUGUAAAGGUCCAUUGACACCUUGGAAGUCAAUUGUAAGCGUUUGAAGCCUUGGGAGGCUAGCUUAGUGAAAUCCUCAAGCCCGGUGAGCUUGGAGGCGUGGACGUAGGCGGGGAUUGCCGAACCACGUAAAAAUCAUUGUGUUUAUUUUCUUUUCCCUUACUCUUUUAUAUUGUGAUUGAUUUAUUUGUUAUUUCUUUAAAUUAAUUUUGGAUUUGCAUUGAGUUUUGUUUUAGAAUUGAAUAAUUUUUAAUAUCCCAAUUCACCCCUCUCUUGGGUUGCCUAGUUAGUAUUUCAAAACCAUUAAAUGUGUGGUCAACUGAAAUAACAGUUAUAAUAAUAUCUAUUAGAGUAAAAAGUUACAACAAUUUUAUAGCAACUCAUAAGAACAAUAAAAAACCCAUUUAUAUUGUUUGUCACUCAACUAGAAGCAAGUUUAGUUUAUACUUUGGAAGAGAAAAACAAACAGCAAAAUAUUGGUCACGAAAUACAUCGACUCAAUCAAAGAGUAAAGAAAAGAACAUGUAGAGAACAAUGAUGGUUGAAUCCAAAUAACGUUGCUGGAUUCUUUACUGAUGCAGACUUGGUUCCCUUGAAUUCUGAUUGUUUUCUCCUUUUUUCUCUUGAUUUUUCCAAUGUUAAUUCCUUGACACCGUUUUAUGUGAUGCGCGUCCUUUUUUAUAACUGAAAACUAAGGUAAACAAGAGCUUAGGGCGCGCAUGAGUCAGAUUAGGAAACUGCAGAUUGCAAUUUUACAAAUAUCCUGCGCUAAAUUUUCUCUGUCGUUGUUUCAAGAUUGCUACAGCAAUAUGUGCUCCAGCAAUGGCUAUAGCACUGCAUUGCUCCAGAUUUUAUUUCACUUCUUUUGUGGUCAUAUUCUUUCUCCUUUUUGCUAGCCUACUGCAUCAGUAUCCCUUCCAUGAAUUAUAAGCUUAUGAAAACCUACAAUUAUGCACAUGUUUUGAGCACGAAUUGCUUUAAAUCAAGCAAAACUUAUUAAGACUUAACUAAAAUGAAUGUUUAUGGAAAACGUAACAAAAAUGUAAUAAAAACACAUCAUUUACUCUCUAAGUGAUCUUGAUUUAAGUCUAGAAUUGCCGUAAUAACUCUCAUUUCAUAGAGUUGUCACACCCUCAAACAUAAAUCGUUACUUGUUCUCAAGUAAUGACAACAUACUAACACUUCAUGCACACAAUCAUGCAACAAACAACUUAGCUCUGUCAUCAAAUUUGCAAAGAUUUUUCCACCCUCAGAUUACAACCUUAAUCAUGCAAUAUAGCGAUAGCAGUUCAGUCCUAGACUUAAGUUUCCUUUUGUCUAAAGUGUGUGUGUGCCACUUUGAUCAAAUUCCAGAGGUGCUAUAAUAUUACACAAACAUUGCAUAUAAUUAAGAGGUAAAACAAAAAUAUAUUCACAUAUGGGGGAGUAGAAAUCACAAAUUUACUCAAACUGUGCUACAAUAAUAAUAAUAAUAAGUUUUUAGUUAAACCCUUCAAUGCAACAUUGAGCUCUUAUGUGAAUGCCUAUCACUUAUAAUGACAAUACCUAAUUACUCACUCAAAGUACAUGUCAGAGUUGCUGCAGCAACACAUCCAGGAUGUUAUAUCUAGGUCUUACCUUUGGACGCCUUUGACUCAAGGCUGAACAUGGGGCUCAUGAACAGAUCAGGUUACUCAGUAUCCUAAGCAGUGACCUCUUUAUCUUUCAUUCCUUCAUCACAAUUUUUUUUUAUAAGUGCCGCAGCACUGCUCAUAGCUCUUGUUGCCUUUGGACUCAAGUCUGCAUAUGGAGUGCAUACUCAAUCUUGGUUAUUCAGCAACUUAAACCAUUGGAGCAGAAUUUAUUUCACAACAGGCACAAUUCAACAAAAAAUUUCCCCCAAACUUGAGAUUUUUUCUACUUUUUUUUUUGUUUUUCCUGGCUCUGCUACAACAUUCUCAUAAGACUCAACCAAAGUCUAAGUGUUGGGACAGAAGUUUAACCUCCAUCUAUAACUAUCUCUACUUGGCUUUCUCAUAAAUACUGAAUAACACUCAAUUUAUCUUCAUUAGGUUUUCAAAUCCAUACACAAAUAUUAGAUAAUAGAGCUUCACACAACACAAACAUAAACACACACAUUCAGAACACAAAGAAACACAACCCCCCUAAACUUAAGUGGUGUUGUGUCCUCACAAGCACACAAAACAAAACCACAUAACCAGACAAGUACAUGUAGAUUUAAAUAGAAAAUGAAAACUUAAUGAAAGAAAAGUUUUUCAGAAAUGAAUAAAAUGACUGGCAGGAAGGGAAUACUCCCAUGUGGUUUAGAGAAUGCUGCAACGUGGUGUAGUGACUUCAGCGCUUUUUGGAUGCACUUCGCAGCCUAUCAUUAGGGGAUUCUUGUGGUGAGGCAGCUGGCAACGCCUUUUUCUUUUUCUGCAAUGGGCUGGUUGGAGGAGUUGCAAUUGGGGCAACCUGCUUGGUUGAAGCAGAUCUGGUUCUUUUUGGUUCUGGUGAGGCUGCUGCAACAACGCCUCCAGAAGUGCCUCCCUUUCUUUUGCUGGGUCCUUUAAGACUAGCACGAAUAGGCUUGUUGGGAGUUUGCUGAGGAGGGGCUGGAGCUGAGGCAUCAGUUGCAUGUCCUUCAGCUGUGAUGGCGACAAUGAUAUCAAGUAGUUGCUUUGUCUCUGUGGGUGUACGAGUGACUCUGGUUGCUGCAACUUCCAGCUCUACAUCAAUUUGCUCGGUUUCAUCAUCAGGGGCAGGAGGGGUGAUUACUUUUUCCUUGCCCUUUCUAGAAAGGAUUGCAAUAUGAGGCUCCUCUACAGGCUCAUCUUCUUCCUCCUCUUGUAUGAUGUGCUUUUUUCUGGACUUAGAAGAGGUCCUGACUGGGGGUUCCUCGUGUUCUUUCUCAGACUCUUCCUCUGCCCCUGUUGGUAAACUGUCAGUUGCAGACUUUACACCCUCUCCCUCAGGGUGUUCAGAUCUAUUUCAGCCUCUGCUUGCGGUUCGGCUGCCGCUUCUUCCUCUGGUUUAUCUGUGUCAGUAGCUUCUUCAAUGACUUCUACUGGAGCUUUUAUAGUGUUGGUAUCAAAAUUGUACUGCUGGAGCAAUGAAUCAAGGAAAUUUCGGCGGGUACUUUUCAUAAAUAUGGAAAAGUGGUGUCGGUGGCUUUCCAGGUGCUACAAAUAGCUCCAGGACCGAUUGUUUUCCCUUUGUUGAGCUUCAGCACAUUGAAUGAUGUUGGUGCUCAAUGCUUCAUUCUCUGUUCUAACCCAAUAGCUCAUCUCGCUCCUGUUACAGCAACUGGUUCUGAUGGGCCUCCAACAACUUCACCAGCAAUUCUCUCGAUGGUGCGUGUAGUAAGGGCAUCAUCAUUCUUUGACAUGCUCAUCUUUUGCACCAAGACGAACUCCCGAGACCACACAGAUACUGGUGAUGAGCGAAGGAAAUAGCAGGGUAGCUGCUUUGUGGCUUUUCACGGCACAAUCCCGAAUUUCUUUUUCAAUAAUGCCUCUCACAUCUAUGCGAAGCCCUCUAACAUUAACAUACAAUAGUACCAACCUUUCUUGUGAAAUAGUAGUGGUGUGUGUGGUUGGCAUAAGUCUGGUUUUCAGAAAUUUCACCCACACCUUAGCAAUGGGUUUUAAAUCUAUCCUGUUAAUUACACGCCCUCCCUUAUUAGCCCAAUAUGCACCAUCUACUAUAAGUGUCGUGAAAAUUUAGUUCCAUCUUUACGGGGUUAAUUUGUCAAGCAACUUAGCAUACUCACAAUUAAUUUCAGCAGGUAAAUUAUAGAAAGCAUUUAUAACUCGAGAAUCUAAUGGAACAAGUGAAUUUCUUACCUAAAUGUUGUGCUGACCAGGGCUUACCAAAUUGGCGUAAAAUUCUUUCACUACUAGCAACACAGAGUCUCGAGGGUGGUUGUAAAACUCUAGCCACCCGCGCUUUGCUGCAACAUUGUAUAAUGAUUGCACAAUUCCUGUGGGCUGAGGUGGGAACUGAAACCCUUUUUCUUCCAGAAUCCUGCGCGGUUCAAUGAAUUCUUUAUAUUUUUCUUCCGCAUGGUAACUUUGAAAGCAUGAAGGAUCCUUUAGUCGGUUGGCUAUCUUUUUGUACCUUGGCAUUGCUAUAGCAGUAAGAAUUCGAUGGUAAUAUGCCCAAGAGUAAAAUGAGAAGAAGAAGUUAAGAAGUAUUGGAGUCGUGACUACGAAGGAGAGGGAAAAUAGUGUUAGAGGUCACUAAGCACAGUAACUCCCUUAUAUAAGUGAAAUUAAAUGGAAACAAAUCCGAUAAAAAGAGAUAAAUUAGGGAAGAAUAUUUUUUAAAUUCAUUAAGCAUAUCCCAUAAAAAUAGGCAAGAGAAAUUAGUGCAUUAAUUUUGGAGAUAUUCUUCCUCAAUUUCCAUCCACAUAUAUCCACGCAUCUAUCACAUAUUAUCUCUAACAGUAAGUGAGAGGCUCCAUCUUUAAGUUACUGUAACGGUAAUACUGGUUGCUGUAGCACCCAAUUGUUUGUUCUAGCAACGGUUACAUACUCUCUUCCAAUAGCUACUGACACGUGGCUCGCUUCUGUAGUCUGUUAACAAUACAACCCCAAUUGUUAGUAUGGAAUCCAUUUGCCACACACAUUUCACUCGAGAAAUUCAAAAAUAUAAAACCAAUCCUAAAUUAAUCCUAAAAAAUAAAACAAGAAAAAUAAAAGUUAAAAAAUCCUAAAUAAGGGAAAUAAAAAUAAAUAAUAAAAUAAAAUAAAAUAAAAGGAAAAGCAUUUAACAAAACCAAGGAGGAUCCCUCUCAUUUGAAGUGACUGCCUCCGCAAUGGGUUGCCUCCCAUUGAGUGCUUGAUUUAAGGUCCUUCAGCCUGACCUUACUUGAGUGCUCAUAAACUUGGUUCUUUAAAGAGUAAGACCUCCUUUGAACAAUCUACAGCUGAGUGUAUGUAAUGUUUAACUCUAUGCCCAUUGACUUUGAAUUCUUGGCCUGUCUUUUCAUCUAAGAGAUCAACAGCUCCAUGAGGAUAAAUUCUGAGCAGCUUGAAGGGUCCAGACCAUCGAGAUUUCAAUUUUCUUGGAAAUAGUCUUAGCCUCGUAUUAUGGAGCAGUACUAGUUGACCAGGUCUUAAUUUCCUGUGUUGGAUAUGUUUGUCAUGCCAGUGUUUUGUCCUCUCUUUAUAAAUUCUUGCAUUUUGAUAUGAGAACAGUCGUAAUUCAUCAAGCUCACAUAGUUGAAGUUUCCUUUGCUCUGCUGCAGCAUGUAUAUCCCAAUUUAAUUGCUUCAGUGCCCAGUAUGCUUUGUGCUCUAAUUCGAGUGGCAAGUGGCAAGUUUUCCCAUACACAAUUCGGGAGGGAGACAUGCCUAAUGGUGUCUUGUAUGUUGUUUUGUAAGCCUACAUGGAGUUAUGUAAACGCAAGGACCAAUCCUUCCUUGAUGGGUUCACCACUUUUUCUAAGAUUUUCUUAAUCUCUCUAUUAGACACUUCUGCCUGGCCAUUGGAUUGUGGGUGAUAUGUUGUUGCUACUUUAUGCCUGACUCCAUAUUUUACCAUAGCGGCAGCAAAUACUUUGUUGCAAAAUUGAGUGCCCUUAUCAUUAAUAAUUGCUCAUGGAGUGCCAAACUUGGAAAAAAUAUUUUUCUGAAGGAAGUUCACAACUACUCUAGCAUCGUUGAUAGGUAACGCUGUAGCUUCUACCCAUUUACAGACAUAGUCCACAGCAACCAGGAUUUAUAAGUUCCUAAAGGAUGGUGAAAAAUGACUCAUAAAGUCUAUUCCCCAUAUAUAAAAAACCUCCACUUCCAGAAUGUUUGUCAAUGGCAUUUCAUGUCUUUGAGUUGUGUUUCCUGUCCUUUAACACCUGUCACAAUAUUUAGCAAACUCAUAAGCAUCUUCAAAAAUAGAAGGCCAGUAAUAACCUGAUUGCAGAACCUUAGCAACUGUUCUGUGAACACCAAAAUAUCUUCCAUAUGCUGUAGCAUGGCAGGAUUCCAGUAUGUGAGGAUUUUCUUCCUCUGAGGCACAUCUUCAUAUUACUUUAUUUGAGCAUAACUUAUACAAAUAUGGGUCAUCUCACUGGUAGCUUCCAACAUCAUGAAGAAAUUUCCUUUCUGCUGAAACUUCAACUCAGGUGGUAGCAAUCCACUCACUAAGUAGUUAGCAAAAUCUGCAUCCCAUGGAGGUCCUAAUUGCUGCAGCAUUUGUGCUUGUUGUACUACUAAUAGUUGUUCAUCAAGAAAAGUUUCAGUGAUGUCUUUUUUUCUCAAUGUACUUGUGUCUGCUUCUAGCCUCGACAUAUGGUCUACUACUUGAUUCUCAGUCCCCUUUCUAUCUUUAAUUUCCAUAUCAAACUCCUGAAGCAAUAAGAUCCAUCUUAUUAAUCUCGAUUUAGCAUCCUUCUUUGAGAUCAGGUACUUGAUGGCUGCAUGGUAUAUGUAUACUGUCACUUUAGUACCCACCAAAUAAGCUCUAAAUUUAUCGAAAGCAAAUACUACUGCUAGCAACUCUUUCUCUGUAGUGGUGUAAUUAAUCUGAGUUUAAGUAAGAGUUUUGCUGGCAUAGUAUAUAGAGUGGAAAAUCUUAUCCUUUUUCUGCCCCAGCACUGCCCCAAUAGAAUGGUCACUAGCAUCACACAUCAGUUCAAAUGGUAGAGUCCAAUCUGGUGAUAUAACCACUAGUGCAGUGAUCAAAGCUUUCUUUAAUUCUCCAAAGGCUUAAAGACAGUCUUUAUCAAAAUGAAAAGGGCUGUCAUGUUCUAGCAAUGAGCAUAAUGGUUUAGCUACCUUGGAAAAGUCUUUUAUGAAUCUUCUGUAAAAUCCAGCAUGACCCAAAAAACUUCUAAUCCCCUUGAUUGAGGUGGGAGGUGGCAGUUUAUCUAUCACUUCUAUCUUUGUUUUAUCUACCUCUAUGCCCUUUUUGGACACCUUAUAACCUAAUACUAUGCCUUCUUGCACCACGAAGUGGCAUUUUUUCCAAUUAAGUACUAAGUUACUCAUCUCACAUCUUUUAAGAACUUCUUCCAAGUUGUGUAAACAGUCAAUAUAUGUUUCUCAAAAGACUGAGAAAUCAUCCAUAAAGACUUUCAAUGUUUGUUCCACCACAUCUGAAAAAUUAGACAUCAUACAUUUCUAAAAAGUUGCUGGAGCAUUGCAUAAACCAAAAGGCAUCCUUCUGAAGGAAAAAGUUCCAUAAAGAUAGGUAAAUGUAGUCUUUUCCUGAUCCUCUAGAGCUCUAGCAAUUUGGUUGUAGCCUGAAUACCAAUGUAGGAAACAAUAGUAUUGUUUUCCAGCAAGUCCGUCCAACAUCUGAUCUAUGAAUAAAAAUAGGAAGUGAUCCUUCCGAGUGGCUUUGUUGAGCUUCCUGUAAUCCAUACAUACCCUUUAUCCAGUCACUGUUCUUGUGGGAAUAAGUUCAUUCUUCUCAUUUUCCAUCACUGUUAUUCCUCCCUUCUUUAGAACACAUUGAACUGGGCUUACCCAUGAACUGUUAGAUAUCGGGUAUAUGAUUCUAGCAUCCAACCAUUUGAUGAUUUUUUUCUUCACAACUUCCUUCAUAAUGGGGUUUAGCCUUCACUGUUUCUCCACUGAAUUGCUGUAACAGUCUUCUAACAGAAUUUUAUGCAUGCAUAUGGAUGGGCUGAUCCCUUUAAUGUCUGCCAUAGUCCAUCCAAUUAUUUUUCUGUAUUUCCCAAGCACAUCUACCAGGCUCUGUUCUUGACCUGCAUCCAAAGUAGAUGAAAUAAUUACAAGUAGUAUGUUGUUUUGACCAAGAUAAGCAUAUUUCAAAUGUGAGGGUAACAAUUUUAAUUAAAAAAUAGAAGGUGAUUCAAUAGAAGGUAAAGUUUUCUUUACUUCCAUGUCUGAAAGAUUUAGAUGUUCAACAAAUCUGUUAUGUCUGUUAGAUUGCUUUCCUUCCAUCCAAUCUAUCUGGUUUGCUGCAACAUCUUCUUUUUCGAAGCUCUCAAAUGUGGCAACUUUAAUGAUCUCAUUAUUGUAGUAUUUGUCGAUUCUGUCUGCUACAACAAAAUCCAUAACACUUAGGAAAUUGUAAUCUUCUGCCUCAUCAGGGUUCUUCAUAGCCUCUAAUACAUUGAAUGUGACUUGUUGGUCAUUCACCCUCAUUGUUAGCUCUCCUUUUUGUACAUUUAUCAUAGUCUUCCGGAUUGCUAGGAAAGGUCUUCCAAGUAUAAUGGGUACCUCUUUAUCAGCCUCAAAGUCUAAUACAAUGAAGUCCACUGGAAAGAUGAAUUUGUCAACCUUCAGCAGUACAUCUUCAAUUUUUCCCUCAGGAUAUGCAUGAGAUCUAUCAGCUAAUUUCAGAGUGACUGUUGUUGGCUUGUAUUCUCCUACUCCCAACUACUUAAAUACAGAUAAUGGCAUCAGAUUAAUACUGCCUCCCAAAUUACAUAGUGCUCUGCCAUUGUACCUAGUUCCAAUGGAACAUGAUAUUGUGAAGCUUUCUGGAUCUUUCAAUUUUUGAGGAAUUUUACUUUGGAGCAUGUGACUGCUUUCAUGUGUUAAAGCAACUGUUUCAAAUUCUCCCAACCUUCUCUUUCUUGCCAAGAUAUCUUUUAGAAAUUUCACAUAAUUAGGCAUUUGCUCCAAUGCUUCCACAAAAAGUAUGUUGAUGUGUAAUUGCUUCAGCACUUCUAGGAAUUUGCUAAACUGCUUGUCUUGUUUUUGCUUCUGGAAUCUCUAUGGGAAAGGAGGUGGAUGCCUAAAUUACUGGGUAGCUUCAGGAGGUACCAAUCUCUGCUCAUUUAGUUUAUUAUAAGUUGUUGCCAUUGGUGUUGCAACUUCUUCUUCAGCAUUUAUUGGUUGAUUUCCUUCCAUAGUUGCUGCAGCGGAACCACUAACACCAGUAUCUUGAUGGCUGGGUUGCUAUAACAUGCUCUCAUCUUGAAGUGGUUCUUGUGAGGAUUUAAAUUCUAACAUUUUUUUACUCACUUCAACAAGGAUAUCAAUAUUCUUUUCCGAUCUUAAGUUGAUUACUUUGCAAUGUUCCUUUCCUUCUCUUCUUGGAUUUUCUGUGUUGCUGGGCAAACUUCCCUGAGAUCUGCUACUCAUUGCUAUGGCAAGCUGACCAAUUUGGUUUUCUAGGUUUCUUAGAGAUACAGCUUGACUUUGCACAAUUACUUCAUUCUUCGCAAUGUAUUCCUUAAUCAGUAUUUCUAAUGAAAUGAGGAUUAUGACUGGUGUAUUUUUUCCCUUGAUUCUGCUGAUGAAAACCAGGUGGUUGAAUAUUUCUGUUUUGUCCUCUCAAUGUUGGAACAUUUUGAUUCUGAUUACUUCAUGAGAAAUUUGGGUGUUGCUUCCAUCCAGGGUUGUAAGUAUUUGAGUACGUGUUGCUUUGAGACUGUCGGUUGAAAUUACCCACAUAAUUUACUAAUGUUGGAUUUCCAGGACAGUUAUCAAAUUCAUGUUCUUCACCACAAUACAUACAAGACAGUUUAGCAACUUGCUUUACUACUGCUGGAGCAGAAGUCAUGGCUUUCCCAAUGUUAGUCAAUGUUGUUACUUGUGCUGAUAAUGCUAUAAUUGCAUCAAUAUUAUGUACCCCCGCUGCUCCUCUUGUUGCUGGCUGUCUAGUUGAUGGCCACUGAUAAUUAUUGUUGGCAAUUCUCUCCAAAAUUUCAUAAGCUUCAGUGUAAUAUUUAGAUAACAAAGCUCCAUUUGUUAAAGCAUCAACCAUCAAUCUUGUAAUUGGAUUUAACCUAUUGUAGAAGGUUUCCAACUGUACGCAACAAGGAAUGCCAUGAUGAGGACAUCUUCUGAGCAGUUCUUUAAAUCUCUCCCAGGCCUCAUACAAACUGUCAUCUUCAAGUUGAUGAAAGGAAGUGACCUCAUUCCGCAAUUUUGCAUUCUUGGUUAGUGGAAAAUAUUUCAUUAAGAAUUUAUCAGCCAAUUCAUUCCAUGUUGUGAUGGAAUCAGAUGGUAAUGAGUUCAACCAUGUUCUUGCUCGAUCUCUUAAGAAAUAAGGAAAAAGCCUUAAUCUUAAAGUAUCUUGUGUUGCUCCAGCAAUUUUAAAAGCAUCACUCACUUCUAAGAAUAACUUAAGAUGGAGGUGAGGAUCUUCAGUUGGUAGUAUAUUGAAUUGACCCACUGUUUGCAACAUUUGAAACAUCACUAGCUUCAGUUCAAAGUUUGCGGCUUCCACUUCAGGUCUGACUAUUUCAGGAUGUACAACUUGAGGAGUUAACACAGCAUAAUUUCUGAUAGCUCUGUCUCUGUCAUCUGCCAUGUAAAUGAUAUUGUUAUUGCCUAGCUGUCUCUGAUUAACAUGCUCAUUCUGCCUCUCUUGAAUGUUGACAAGUUGUAGUGGCUCAUAAGGGUCCAAGUUUCCCACAUCGUGCAAAUUAUCCAUGUCUGAAACAGUUUUUGAAUUUUUUUGUUUCCUUCGUAGUCUCUUUACACUCCUUUCAAUCUCAGGAUCAAAUUAGAAUGCAACAGAUCUGUCUUUGCACAUGCAAGUGCUGAUAUGUCAAUAAAUAGAACAAAUUAGAUCAAGUUGGCACUAUCAAGAUUUACUUCACACUUAAAAAAUAAACAAUCAAUUCCCGGCAAUGGCGCCAAAAACUUAUUAGUUAAUUUUUACUCAAUUGCUAUUGAUGCCAAUGUGCAAGUGUACACAACAAGUAAUAAAGUGAUUAGUAUUCAAGAUCGUCUCUAUAGGGAUUGAUGUUACUAGAAAUGCUACAACAAUCACAAUAGUGCAAUCUAUCUAUAUUUCAAGAUGAACAAAUUUAAAGUUGAUUAAUACUGAAAUUAACAAUUGUAAGGAAAUAAAACAAUUAACCGUAAGGGAAUAAAAUAGAUUAAAUAAAUCGCAUAAAAGAAUCAAAUGAGAAUGAAGUAGUUGAAUGAUCAAACUCUCUUCAUGGGUUGACUGCUUUUCAUCAGAUUAACACUAGUUGCUACAGCAAUUCCUACAGCACUGAGUAGAAUUGUUUUGCAUCCUCAGCUAUCGCGUGUUGGAUUUCUCAUACCCUUAAGUAUCCUAACAAUGACCAGUAGUUAUUCUACUGAAGGUAUGACAUUAUGAACAACUACUCUCUCUACCCUACACGGUGAAUGUCUAUGUCUAGUUCUUCACAAAUCUUAACUUCAAGUAAAGCCCUUAUCGGAUUCAAGAUAGACUUAAUCCAGGAAACUUAAAUUAAGAUCAAGUAUUACUCUAAUAUUAUCCACUAAGACAUGCUCUUUUGCGGCUCUAUCUUAACUUGAACCAUUAAAUGGGUGGUCAACCGAAAUAAAAAUUAUAAUAAUAGCUAUUAGAGUAAAAUGCUACAACAAUUUUAUAGCAACCCAUAAGAACAGUCAAAAACCCAUUUAUAUUGUUUGUCACUCAAUUACAAGUAAUUUUAGUUUAUACUUUGAAAAAGAAAAACAAACAGCAAAAUAUUGGUCACGAAAUACAUCAGUUCAAUCAAAGAGUAAAGAAAAGAACAAGUAGAGAAUUAUGAUAGUUGAAUCCAAAUAACGCUGCUGGAUUCUUUACUGAUGCAGACUUGGUUCCCUUGAAUUCUGAUUGUUUUCUUUUUUUUUUCUCUCGAUUUUUCCAAUGUUAAUUCCUUGCUGCCGUUUUAUGUGAUGCGCGCCCUUUUUUUAUAACUGAAAACUAAGGUAAACAAGAGCUUAGGGCGCGCAUGAGUCAGAUUAGGAAACUGCAGAUCAUAAUUUUAUAGAUAUCUCGCGCUAAGUUUUCUCUGUCGUUGUUCAAGGAUUGCUACAACAAUGGGUGCUCCAGCAACGACUACAGCACUGCAUUACUCCAUAUUUUGUUUCACUUCUUUUGUGGCCAUAUUCUUUUUCCUUUUUGCUAGCCUACUGCAUCAGCAUCCUUUUCGUGAAUUAUAAGCUUCUGAAAACCUACAAUUAUGCACAUGUUUUGAGCACGAAUUACUUUAAAUCAAGCAAAACUUAUUAAGACUUUACUAAAAUGAAUGUUUAUGGAAAACGUAACAAAAAUGUAAUAAAAGCACAUCAUUUACUCUCUAAGUGAUCUUGAUUUAAGUCUAGAAUUGCUGUAAUAACUCUCAUUUCAUAGAGUUAUUAGUGAGUUGGAUGAGAUGAUUAUAAUGAGGCAACUAGAGGGGUAUGUGAAUCCUGAAAAAACCUGACUAUGUAUGCCACCUCAAAAAAUCCUUAUAUGAACUCAAAUAAUCCCCAAGACAAUGGUACUUGAGGUUUGAUAGGUUCAUGACUGAGAAUAAUUUUCAAAGGUGUCCAUUUGAUUGUUGUGUAUAUCAUAAGGAUGUAGAAGACGACAGUAAGAUCUAUUUGUUAUUAUAUGUUGAUGACAUGUUAAUAGCCUACAAAUAUAUGGAUCAAAUAGAUACUCUGACGCAGCAACUGAGGGGUUAAUUUGAGAUGAAGGAUCUUGGAGAAGCAAGGAAGAUCCUUGGUGUUGAAUUAAUCACAAACAAAAAGAAUAGUGCUUUGGUAUUGUUACAGCAGAAGUACAUCAAGAAAGUACUUGAAAGGUUUGAAAUAGGAAGAUCAAAGCCAAUCCAAACUCCACUACCAGCUCAUUUCAGGUUGUCUUCUCAACAAUGCCCUAAAACAGAUGCUGAAAGAGCUAAAAUGAGCUCAAUCCCAUAUUCAAAUGCAGUAGGGUGUCUGAUGUAUGCAAUGGUUCUAAAUAGGCCUGACCUGUCCUAUGCAGUAAGUGUUGUAAGCAGGUUUAUGGCUGAUCCAGGGAAAGAGCAUUGGAAGUUUGUGGUAUGGAUCCUAAGGUAUCUUAAUGGGACCAUGAACUAUGAGUUACCAUAUAGAGCUGAUAAAUGAAGGGAAGUCAAUGUAGAAGGCUUUGUAGAUUAUGAUUAUGAUAGAGACCUGGACAAGAGGAGGUCAUUGACUGGGUAUCUGUUCAAACUAAAUGGUUGCACUAUAAACUAGAAAGCUUCUCUACAAAGUGUUGUUGCUCUGUCAACAACUGAAGCCGGGUACACUAUAACAGAAGAUGCAAUAAAAGAAGCAAUUUAGCUUAGAGGAAUGGUGACUAAUUUGGGGUUUGAACAUAAACAAGUUACAGUCCAUUGUGAUAGUUAGAGUGCUAUAUGUUUAAGUAGAAAUCAUAUACAUCAUGAGAAGACCAAACACAUUGACAUUAAGCUCCAUUUUAUCGGGCUAGAAGUAUAAAUAAAUAUGGUUAAACUGAUGAAGAUUCACACUGAUGAUAAUCUAGCAAACAUGCUAACCAAAUCUUUACCAAGUGCCAAGUUUGAGUUCUGUAUAAACUCAGCUGGAAUCUGCAAGACCUAAGCUGCACGAGUUCAGUGAAAAGAAAAGAUAAGGAGUAACGAAUUUGGGUUUAAGGUGAAGAAUGUUGAGAGAUAAACCGUAAAUCUGAGGUUGUGACCAUGUUUGACAUGUCGGUUGUUCAACUUGGCAACAGAUGAUGUGUUGGUUAUCUCGAGUAAGGAAGCUGUAUGACAAAGUUGCUAUGCCAGCUGUGUGAAUAAGUUGAGCACAUGAUUCAACACGUGCAGUAUUUACUUAAAACGACACAUAAAGAUAGCAUUUCUAAGGUGAUUGCAACACGUGUCCAAGAGCUGGUUUAAAUGGCUGGAAAAGCUGUUGAAAGGCGCGGGAAAUUUCUAGGUUUGUUGCUAACAAACCUAGUAAUGUUGAGCUGGCUUCUGGAGGUGUUUCUAGAAGCUAUUUCGUGUUGUAUAUAAAACCUUGUGGGUUGUUGUUGGAAUUAUUCGAGAGGGUGACAAUUUCUCAGCUUCUUUUGUAUCUUGUGAAGGAAAGAUUAGUAAAAGACUUGCUUUUAUUUUCAUAGUGGAUGUAGGUCACUUGGGUGGCUAAACCACUAAAACUCUUUUAUGUCUUUUUAUGUGUAUCUUCAGUUCUUCUUCCUGAUUUAGUUUCAGAUUGUUUCAGUAUCUGUUUUUUCAUCAAGAUUGGGUUGAUUGUUAGCCAUCCUUAGGUUACAGAGAAUUUGAGUGGAUCUUGGGGGAUCAAAAUUGGAUUCUUUCUGGUUUUGGUCCAACAAAACUUAUAACCCUUAAGUUUUUCCAUGAAUCACUCAAAUUAGAGUAUAGUAUUAGCAGUGGGGUAAUCAAGAACAAAGAUGAAGAGUUAGCUGAUCUAAGCCAACAACUUCAGGAUAGUUAUCAAACACAUAUCAAAGCUCACCUUUAAUUUGCUAAAUUUAAGUAGGUGGACGACAUGAAAUUCUUUGCUGGGGUUAAUGAUUGCAAAAAAGUGGCAAAAGAGCAUCGCCCUAAAUGGGAUUUGAAGUUAGUAGAUGAUUGUUACUCUAAAGCUCCCUAGGUGGAUGACUUUGACCUAUCUCUAGAGGACGAGUUGGUUGGAGACGGUGCUACUAAGCCAACAGGUCAGCAAGACGAACUUGUUCGUGUUCUACUUUAACCCACUUUACUUGUGGAUACCGCUACAACUUUUGGAGCUCUUAGUAGGCAAAUAAGUGAAGAGGGGGUGAAUCCCCAUUAAACAUUCCCCCCUAGCCACUAUCUACCCAAAUGAUAUCUCAAAGGGAAACUAAGGCCGAUUUAACCUUCUUUGCUGGUGCUUUGAACUUUUAAUAAUUCUAUUUAAAUUUUUAAUGUUUUGUGUGUGGUUUUGCUACCAACUGGUACUUUGGCAUGUAAUGUUCUUUAUUUUGGAUGUUUUCAAUUUCCUAUCUUAUCUUAUACUUCAAUGUUUAGCAUAUAUUACUUUUCGACAUCUAUAAUCGUUGUUCCUCCUAGUAAGUGAGAAUCAUUCAAGUGGCAAUAAUUCACGUUUACUUGCUCCGUUGUUAAACUGGUUAUAAAUUAGGCGGCAGUGAUUCAUACUGACUUAGAUAGUCGUUCAAGUAUUAAUGAUUCACAUCUUCUUAUAUAAGCAACUUGUGCAUGUUAAUGCUUUUAAGUUGGGAUAAUCCAUGAUUACCUAUUUCUUUAUCCAAAUAGUAGUAACUCAUUACUAUCUACACAUUGGCCAGACAAUGAUAAUUCGUGGUUAUCUACCUCUCUGCUUAGGCUGUAAUAGAUCAUGGUUUGUAACAUUGUUUCUUUAAGCAAUAUAAUUUGCACUUAGAAGAACUAUGCAGUUCAAGCCUCAAAGGGCCAUUUAUCUCAUGUCUUAGAUGACUAUUUAUUUCGCGCCUUAUAAGUAAGCUCAAUCCAUACCUCGUAGGGAAGAUUAAUUUAUGCCUUGAUUUAGUUAAUAUGAUUUUUUCCUUGAUUAAGGUAGUAUGAGUAAUGCUUAGAUUAGGGCAAUAUGUUUCCUACUUUGAUUAGGGCAAUAUGACUUCUGCCUUGAUUAGGGCAGUCUAAUAUAUGCCUUGAUCAGGGAAAUAUGAUUCAUGCCUUGAUUAGCAUAGUAUAACACAUGUCUUGAUUAGGGUAAUAUGAUUCAUAUGUUGAUUAAGGCAAUAUAAUGCAUGCUUUUAUUAGGGCAAUAUGAUUCCGACCUUGAUUAGGGCAGUAUAAUAGAUGCAUUGAUUAGGGCAAUAUGAUUCCUGCCUUGAUUAGGGCAGUAUGACGCGUACCUUGAUUUGGGCAAUAUAAUUCAAGCCUUGAUUAGGGCGGUAUAAUGUAUGCCUUGACCAGGGCAAUACAUUCAUGCCUUGAUUAGGCAGUAUAAUGCAUGCCUUGAUUAGAGCAAUAUGAUUCCUACCUUGAUUAGGACAAUAUAAUCCAUGCCUUGAUUAGAGCAAUAUAAUUCCUAACUUAUUUAGGGCAGUAUAAUGGAUGCCUUGAUCAGGCCAAUAUGACUCUUGCCUUGAUUAGGGCAGUAUAAUGCAUGUCUUGAAUAAGAUUCAUGUCUUAAUUACUGUAGUAUAAUUCAUGUCUCGAUUAGGGCAGUAUAAUACAUGUCUUGAUUAGGGUAGUAUAAUUCAUGCCUUAAGGGCUAUAUUUCCUUUACCUUGUAAGGUGUUUUUAUUCUUGCCUGGUUGCUCUUGUUCUAGGAUCUCAUGCAACGUCUUAUAGUAAAAUUAUAGUGUAAAAUGUGAAAGUGUAUGAACAUAUAAAAAAUACAUGAAUAUUUAUUUUAUAAAAUUUGAAGACUUCCUCCAACUUAAACUAGACCAUCUAAUGUGGCUGGCGCUAGUAGGGGGUCCAAAGCCUGAGUAAUAGACAAUUGAUAAUGAUUUAAAGGACUUUCUCUUAGCUUGAACUGGACCACUUAGUGUGGGCACUAUUAAUGUGGGGUCCAAAGCCAAUAUAUAAAGAAAUAUUAGUUUAUUAUGUCCAAUAUUUCCAACAUUUCCAACUUCUCAGCUAACCAUCCUUAAAAGCAGAUCAUCAAAAAAGUGAUAAACAAGGAAAAGAAAAACAUAUUUGCAUUCGCAAGCGUAGUAACGUCUGAGGUGUUCUGUGUUCCAAGGUUGAGUUAGCUGCUUUCCUUAAUUUCUGCUAGAAUAUACAGUCACUUCCUUUACCCUUACUGCUUCUUCUUUCCUUAACACUAGGUGUCCGGGUUGGAACCCUUAUAUUUUAACUCUAAUGUUUGAAAUUCUAGCUAAGCAACCUAAGAGGUGUGUUAAUUGGGUUUCAAAAAUUAAUACAAACAUAAACACAAUACAAUUGAAAUAAAUGCUUCAAGAAAUUUAAUAUCAGUAAAUUCAACUCUGUAUAAAUUUAAAAAGAUAAGGAAAAAGAAAACAAACACAUGAAUUUUUAUGUGGUUCUGCAAAACCUACUUACAUCCAUGAUUCUAAGAAAACCAAGCUUGAGGAUUCCACUAUCCAAGCUUUCCAAGGCUUCAAGAUUUUACAAUUGACUUCCAAGGUGUUAUUAAACCUUUACAAGUAGUGAUGUACACACACACCUUUUUGCCCCAAGUGUUUCCCAUACUUAUACUCACUUAAUUUUGAUGUAUAAAUGAAAUUUACAAAGGUUACUCUCUAUAAGAGUGUAUAAGGAAAUGAUAGCUUAAUAAUAAUUCAAUGUAUGUGGAUAAGCAAGAUGAAAGCUCAAGAUCAGUUGUACGAAUAAGUAUCAGCUUAAUUGAGAUUAAAAACGUUUAAACAAUAAAACUAGCUGUUAUUGACUUUCUAAGAUCUUGCUGGAUCGCCACUAAAAUGAGGUGGUUAGUCGUAAUAUUAUUAUGGCAAGUUACUGUUACAUAAUCAAAUAUGAAAUUUUGCUCAAGUGGUUUGCCGCUAGAUUUAGCUGGCCAGCCGUUAAGUUUUUUUACCUCAGGCUGUUAGCCUUUACUAAUUAAGCGAUUGGCCGCUAUUGUUCCAAAAUGUAUAGUUUUCCUUCUUCAAGUAGUCUACGAUUAGAUCCAUCUAAUUGUCAUAGAAAACAACUAGUGCAUUGUGUAACGCUCCACUUAAAUAUUUAUUCUAAAAAUGUUUAAAACAUUGUUACUUUUUAAUAUAGUUACAAAUUCUAAAAAAUAUUUUACAUAGCAAGCAAAACUUCUUUACAAAAGAUAAGGGACAUACAGAGAUUCCUUAGUAUAUUUCUCAAAAGCUUUAUUAUUAUUAAAGCUAAUAUAUUUAUUUUUUAUUGAAACAAAGUAGAGCCUAUCAUAAAACCCAAGGUUUGAUAUGUCUAUAUGCACCUCGUCUCGGUUGGGACUUGACAUCAGUUUGCCUUACUCAUUGUUACCUGCAAUGUAAGGAAUUUAUGAGCUAAUGUCUAGUAAGAUAACACUUUGAUGCAUAUAUAAAUUAUUAUGCAUAUAAAUGACCAUAUAGUCUUUGAAAAUACUGAUGCUCCUUACAGCUGAUAAAACAAGUCAUCGGUGCGCAGAAAUAGGUACUUUUUCUUGAUUGUCACCUUAUUUAUCUUUCGAUAGUCGAUGCACAUUCUUAUUGAUCCAUCAUUCUUUUGUACGAAUAGUAAUGGUGCUCCCCAUGGUGAAUGACUUAGGCGUAUGUAGCUUUUGUCUAAUAACUUUUGCAAUUGACUCUUUAACUCUUUUAAUUCUGAUGGGGCCAUCCUAUAGGGCGCCUUUACAAUUGGAGCAGUUUCUGGUAACAAAUCGAUUUUGAAUUUAAUUUCUCGAUCCGGUGGCAAUCCUGGGAGUUCUUCAGGAAAGGGCUCAGGAAAUUCGUUCACCACCAUAAUAUCUUUCAACUUUAGUCCUUACUCUUCUGUGAGUACACUUGCUAAAUACCCCUCACAUCCUCCAUUUAAUAGUCUGAUUACUUUUAAGGCAUAGAUAAUAGUCAUUCUUUUCUCUUUGCAUUCUCCUUUGAAUGUAAAUGAUUUCUUUUGUUGUGGUCGAAAAGUUACUUCCCUUUUUCAUGCAAUUCAUCUUGGCUUAGUGCUUUGAUAGCCAAUCCAUGCCAAGAAUUGCGUCAUAGUCAUGCAUCUCUAGGAUUAUUAGGUCAGCACAUAGUUUAUGACCACUAACGCUGACCUCACAUGCCUUAACUAAUUGUCUUGACUUCAAUACUUCACCCAAUGGUACCAUGACACUAAAAGGCCUAUUUAUUAUGUCAGGGACAUUUUCGAUUCUCCUUUGAAUGUAAAUGAUUUCUUUUGUUGUGGUUGAAAAGUUACUUCAUUUUUCUUGCAAUCUAUCUUGGCAUAGUGCUUUGAUAGCCAAUUCAUGCCAAGAAUUACGUCAUAGUCAUGCAUCUCUAGGAUUAUUAGGUCAACACAUAGUUUAUGACCACUAACGCUGACCUCACAUGCCUUAACUAAUUGUCCCGACUUCAAUACUUCACCUGAUAGUACCAUGACACUAAAAAGCCUAUUUAUUAUGUUAGAGACAUUUUCGAUUUUCCUAAUAAAUAUUGGUGAGGCAAAUGAAUGUGUAGCUCAGAUGAGGUAACACAUAUGCAGGAGUUUUGGAGAUAGAUAGUUCACCUGAGACUACUGAGGGGUUUCCUUCUACAUCCAUUUUGGUGAGUGUAAAUACUUGAGCAUUAACAUUUUCUUGUUGUGUACUAUUCUCUGGCAGUCCUCGAUGAAGUGUCCUUCCCUUCCACAUUUAAAACAUGUUCUGGUAUUGGCUCGACAUCCCCCAGGAUGAGUUCUACCGCAUUGAUUGUACCUUGGCUUUUGUAGGACCUCCUUUUGAUGAUUCUUUGGGCGUUUGCUUUUAUUCUGAUCUUGGAUCAUUCGCGUUCCCUUUCUCUUAUUAUUAUUUGAGCAUUGUCUUUCGUGUUAGCUAAAAAGUUUCCUUGGUCCAUACUUCAUUUUUUUCUUUGUUUUUCUUCCUUCUUUUCUUCAUCUGCUUUCUCAAUUGCGACAAUUUUUGGGGCAUAUCGAGAAAGCUCAUCAAAUUUUUGGAUAUACUCUUGCACAAUCAUCCUUCCCUAUUAUAAAUAAACAAACUUCCUUCUUUUGGCUAAGCAAACAAUCUUCGAAAAGUAUUUGUUAUAGAAGUGUUCUUUAAAUUCUACAUAUUGCAUGGUUGCUUCAUUAUGAAUUCGUUUAAUAGAGUCCCACUAGUAUUCUGCCGCUUCUUGUAGCAUAAAGGAGACACAUGUGAAUUUUUCUUCUUCUAGCACUUUGGCUACUUCUAUCACUCUUUCUAUGGUUGGCAAUCAUUGGUCUGUUACGAUUGGAUCUACGCCUCCUUCGAUCUUCUAAAUUUGCUCCCUGUAUUCUUCAUUGCUUGAGCAUGUUCAUCCUUUCUCACUUCCCUUUCCAAGAGUCGUGCCACAAUGUUUGUAAGUAGAUUAAUUACAGAUUGCUCCCCUGAAGUUCCUUUUUCCCUUCUGCUUCUACUACCCUAGCGCUUGACAUCUCAACGAGUGUUUAAUCUAAUUUCUACGUGUUAGACAAAUCAAAUGUAAGAUUUUCCCAAUUAUCUCAAUAUCAAGUUUCAAUUAAAAAGCUAAGUCUUGUCCCUCCCCUUGACUUGUGCAUAUGGACGGGAUAUAGAAUCGCUUUAAACCUGGCUCUGAAACCAAUUUGUAACACUUCACUUAAAAAUUUAUUUUAAAAAUGUUUAAAACACUGUUACUUUUUUAUAUAAAUAAAAAUUCUAAACAAAGUUUUACAUAGCAAGCAAAAUACUUUUUUAUAUAAAUAAAAAUUCCAAACAAAGUUUUACAUAGCAAGUAAAACUUCCAUACAAAAGGUAAAAGACAUACUGAGAUUCCUUAGUAUAUUUCUAAAAAACUUUAUUAUUACUAAAGUUAAGAUAUUUAUUUUUUAUUAAAACAAAGAAGAGUCCAUCAUAAAACCCAAGGUUUGAUAUGUCCAUAUGCACCUCGCCUCGGUUGGGACUUGAAGUCAGCUUGCCCUACUCAUUGUUGCCUGCAAUGUAAGGACUUUAUGAGCUAAUGCCCAGCAAGAUAACACUUUGAUGCAUGUAUAAAUUAUUAUGCAUAUAAAUGACCAUAUUAAGUUCUUUAAAAAAACUUAAAACAACUUUAUUAGGGCCCUAGGUAUGUUGCACUACAAGGUUGACAUUUUUACUCUUUAAACAAUGUGCCUUUGGGCCUGAUUAGUUUAUCUUUUAGGCAUUAUGUAUUGUCGUCCCCAAAAGCUUUCUUUUUACUUAGCUUCGAGGGCUUGCCCUCCUUGGAAACUUUGCCACGUGGUAAUACAACCACUCAUUUUUCAUAAAUUCAUUUUCUGAAACGUCUUCUUCAUAAAGUAACCAUGAAAUGCAUGCGUCCAAUGCAACUUAUAUAAUAACAUUUAAAGGUCUUUGAUGCACAACAGAAUCAACACACAACACUAUUUAAGGACAACAAUCUUUAAUAUAUGUGGCAGUGCCGUCCAGACAGAGAUUAAACAAAAUAGAACUAUAAUAUAGGCGGCAGACCCGACCAUAGCAUAAUUGACUAAUGUUAUUGUUGAGUGUUAGAAAAUGUAUAUUUAUAAAGGAGAAAAUCAUUAUUUUACAUUUCAAAUCUUACUAACACCCUUACUUUUAUGUAUUUAAGCUUGUGAUUUAAUUACGUAUGUUUUAUUUUAAUUAAGUAUUUUAUAUAUUUUAGGGGCAUUAUGGUCAUUUCACAAUGAACGAGAGAUCAGACGGCAAAGCGGACAUCACUUUUGAACUCAGGACGGUCCAAAACCUUAGGAGGAGCAUAAAAGGAAAAAUGACAUUCUUCACAUGUACAGUACUAUUCACAUGUAGGUACUGUCUACGAUACUGUUCACGACACUGUUCACAUAGACGAAUCGAUGACGUGGCAUUGACCGAUGAUGUGGCAUUGACUGAUGAGGUGUCACGAUCCUGUUGGACUAAAAUUCUUAUACACUAUUGAUUGGUGACGUGGCAGAAUGUUAGUGGACUAAAAAUUGCACGUAUGGUGCAUGCAUAUACACAGAAUUAUUUUCAACCAAAUCGUGUUACUGUUCAAACCGGGUCAAACCGUGUCACUAUUCAAACCACGUACUAUUGACUGAUGAUGUGGCACAAUCCUGAGCGUCCAAACUGUUUUUAAUCCGAUAAUCAUGAUUUACUUAAUGUAUCUAUAAAAAGAGAGCCUCCCCCCGUAAUUUGGCAUAUCUGAAUCCAUUUUUGGGCUCCAUUUUCUGUAAUUCCUUCUUCAUCUUGUAUUUUCUAUGUAUUUUAAUAAAUUUCCAUUUUACUCCUAGUUCAAUUAUGAGUAGCUAAUUUUCUUUCAAGCUUGGGUUGAAGAUGAAGUCUCAACAUGUGUUAUGGGCUUUAUUUGGUAAAUUUAUUUUCUCUUCCCCUCUAGUUUUUGUGGAUGUUUUGACUUCUCGUCAAAAAAUAAUAAUAAUCUUGUCUAGAUACCACCCUAGUUUCACAGACUCCCUAGUACAAGGUUAUUAUUAUUUGGCACGAUAAGCCCUUAGCACCAUAUUGAUUAGAGUGUGGUUCAUGAGGUGUAGAUUCCCCCCUCAUGAUUUAAUUGGUAUUAAUAAGGAAUAUUUAGCCCAUGAUGCAUGUUGAUACGGAUCUAGAUACCCAAGUACGUCAAUUUAAUCGAUUUUCACUUCAAUUUAUUCUCGUCAUUUCAAUUCCAAUUUUAAGAUAAUUUAAGUCACUUUCACCACAAAUCCAACCGCCCUCAUACAGAAUUAAUUCUAUAUAUAAUUAAAAUCCACCUCCUCGUGGGAUCGACACUCGUCACCAUUGAUCUAUUCUACGAUAGAUUCGUGCACUUGCGAGUUCAAUAAAAUUUGCACAACAAGUUUUUUGCGCCGUUGCUGGGGAGGAAAAUUAUUUUAAUUUGUAGAAUUGAUUUUUGUAAAUAAUUUCUUUUAAUUGUUCAUUUAAAAAAAAAGAAAAAAAAAGUGAAUCUACAUUUAGAGGUAAGAAUUUCUUUUCUUUUUCUCUUAUUUAAAAUUCUAUAAUUUAAUUUUCAAGUUAUUUUUUUCUUCUUUGUAAUUUUUUUGUUUAUCUUAUUAAUUUAUUUUUAGUUAAUUUAUUUCACGUAUUUUUUUAGUGUGAUUUUAUAGAAAGGUUGUAACAGUGUGAUAAGGUUAGUACUGUAAUUUCUCCUUCUUCUUUAUUUUUAUUUAUUUUGUUCCUAUUUUUUUGUGUUCUUUGCAUGCAUGGUCGAAGGUCAUUAUUACCUAAUCUUGAACCUAUAGACCUUGAACUUGAAAAAACACUUCGCACACACAAACACGUUAAAAAUAAAAUGGAUUUGCAACAACAAGCACCACCACAGGAGAGGCCAUUUAAGGACUACAUCAGUCCUUUAGCUAAUUUGAGUACAUUAUGCAUAAGAUACCCAAAUGUAGCUGCUAGGAGUUUUGAACUAAAACCUAGUGUGCUAAAUUGUCUCCUAACAUUCUAUGGCUUAGAAAAUGAGGACCCAUAUAAUCAUCUUAAUGAUUUUCAUGCUAUUUGUUAAACUUUUAAAUACGAGAAUUUUUCAGACGAUGAUGUUAAACUCAGAUUAUUCCUAUUUUCUUUAAAGGAUAGAGCUUGUUCAUGGCCCAAUACAUUACCUGCCAAUAGCAUCACAUCAUGGGAACAAAUAGUAACUAAAUUUUUGAAUAAAUAUUUCCUAGUGCAUAAAAUUAAUGCUAUUCGUAGGGAAAUUUUAGAGUUUACCCAGAGAGAAGACGAGCAUUUUUUCGAAACAUGAGAGCGAUUCAAUGGGCUACUCUUGAAGUGUCCACAUCAUGAGUAUGAGACAUGGUACCAAUGCCAAUACUUUUUGGAAGGAUUAUUGGCGAAUGUGCAAGAAUGACUAAUGGCAACAAGUGGAGGAGAGCUAAUGUCAAAAAGUGCAUAAGAGAUUUGGGAAUUCUUCCAGCGACAAGCGGAUAAUUCCCAACAACGGAGUCAAUCACUCAAGAAUACUAAAAGAAUUAAGGGAGUGAAUGAGGUUCACAUUGGCGAGUCAACUUCGGGAAUCAAAGAAGUCAAGGAGAUGGUUGAAGGUCUCUCUCGACAAAUAGCAUCGUUAACGACUGCUAAAUCAACAGAACCACAUGACCAUGACUCAUACUCAGAUCAAGCCAAUGCCAUAGGUGUAAUGAGAAAACCAUCAAAUUACAACCCAUACUCCAACACAUAUAACCCUCGAUGGAGAGACCACCCUAAUUUUUCAUGGUUUCAAGGAUUCCAACAGAAUGGACCAGCAACUCCAGCUCCACCAAUGCAACCAAUUCCUCAAACUUCUCAACUCUUUCAGCCCCCAUUUAGAUCAUACAAUCAGAACCAGAACUACUCUCAACCUAGACCAUGGGAGGAUGCAUUCCAGAAUUUCAAGAAUGUUACUCACUCUACGAUUGAGCAACAGAAUCGCGCCAUUGAUGGACUACGAAAUGAGAUGAGAGCAGGCUUCAACUCACAAGCCCAAUCAGUUUCAAGCCUCGAGAAGAUGGUGUGACAACUUACUUAUUCAGUUCAGACCUGGGCAAUGACUGUUGAGAAAGGUAAAUUUCUAAGUCAACUAGUGCCUAAUCCUAAAGGAGUACAUGAAGUAAAUACCAGUUCACCACAGCAGCAUGGAGAGGUCAAAGCAGUCAUGACCUUACGAAAAGGAAAAGAAGUUGAUAACAAAGUGGAGAUGCCAGUGACAAAAGAAAAUCAAAUUGUACCUGUGAAUGUUGAGGACUCACCAUCGGAAGAGAAAGAAGAAACCAACCCACGAGAAUAUAUUCCGAAAGCUCCAUUUCCUCAUAUGUUAGCUAAAGGAAAGAAAGGAAAAUCCACAGGUGAGAUUCUUAAAAUCUUCAAACAGGUAAGUGUUAACAUCCCUUUACUUGAUGCUAUAAAACAAGUUUCAUCUUAUGUUAAGUUUCUUAAAGACCUUUGUACUAAAAAGAGAAACAUUCACGCUCAAAAGAAGGCAUUUUUAACAGAAAACGUUAGUUCUAUACUCCAACACAAAAUUCCUUUAAAAUGCAAAGACCUAGGCUCCCCCACUAUCUCAUAUAGUAUAGGAAACCAUACAAUUGAGAAUGCUUUGUUGGAUUUAGGAGCUAGUGUAAAUCUGUUGUCUUAUUUAGUAUUUGUGAAACUUAGACUUGGAGAAUUACACCCAACUCCAGUGGUGUUACAGCUUGCAGAUCGGUCCACGAAAAUACCUCGUGGUAUUGUGGAGGACGUGCUUAUUCAGGUAGACAAGUUUUAUUUUCCUGUUGAUUUUAUUGUAAUUGACACUCAACCAAUACAAGAUUCAAGGAAGCACAUCCCCAUUAUUCUAAGCCGACCUUUCUUGGCAACUGCGGAUGCUCACAUUCAAUGCAGGAUUGGAAAUAUGCAGUUGUCCUUCGACAACAUGACUAUGGAGCUAAACAUCUUCAACAUUGCCAAACAACCUCAUAAUGCAGAUAAUGGAAUUGUUGAUGUGGAUUUAAUUGAAGCAUUAGUUGAUGACACUUUUCUUUCAAACCUUAGUGAUGACCCUUUACAAACAUGUUUAACUCACUUUGGUUUGGAUUUUGAUAUUGACAGAUCAGUCGAUGAGGUCAACGCCCUACUUGACUUAGCACCAUCUAUGGACACUAAUAAAUGGAAGUCAAAAGUUGAACAACUAGCACCAUCAAAGAAGAAACUCAUCCCAUCAUUAGAAUCACCACCGAAAUUCGAGCUCAAACCAUUACCCAACACAUUGAAAUAUGCAUUUUUGGGAGAAGAAAGUACUCUGUCGGUAAUCAUCUCAUCAUCCCUAAAUGAAGAACAAAAAGGUAAGUUAUUGGAUAUUUUAAAAGAGCACAAAGGAACAUUAGGAUGGACCAUAGUGGACAUAAAAUGUAUAAACCCAGUAGACUGCAUGCAUUACAUUCACCUUGAUGAAAAUGCUAAACCUACUAGGAAAAUUCAAUGUCAGUUAAAUUCUAACAUGAAAGAAGUUGUUAGAACUGAAGUCCUUAAGCUAUUAGAUGCAGGUAUCAUUUACCUCAUUUCUGAUAGUUCACGGGUCAGUCAUGUACAAGUUGUCCCCAAAAAGUCAGGAGUCAUAGUAGUUACGAAUGUCGAUAAUGAAUUGAUACCCACUAGAGUAACUACAGGAUGGCGUGUAUGUAUUGAUUACAGAAAGUUGAAUUCUGUCACACGUAAAGACCAUUUUCCUUUACCAUUUAUCAAUCAAAUGCUUGAUAGAUUGGCAGGUAAUGAAUUUUAUUACUUUCUAGAUGGCUACUCAGGAUAUAAUCAGAUUCCUAUAGCACCAAAAGAUCAAAAGAAAACUAUUUUCACUUGACCUUUUGGCACUUUUGCAUAUAGGAGGAUGCCAUUUGGAUUAUGUAAUGCACCUGCUACAUUUAAACGAUGCAUGUUAAGCAUUUUUUUCUGAUAUAGUUGAACGAUUCCUUGAAGUCUUUAUGGAUUAUUUUUCUAUCUUUGGUGAUUCAUUUGAUUAAUGUUUACUUCAUCUAACACUAGUUCUGCAUAGAUGUAUCGAGAAAAACUUAGUCUUAAAUUGAGCGAAGUGUCAUUUUAUGGUAAAAGAAGGUAUUGUUCUCGAUCACAUCAUUUCGAGCAAAGGUAUUGAAGUUGACAAAGCCAAGGUGGAUCUCAUUUCUAAUCUUCCUCCACCCAAAACAGUCAGAGAAGUAAGAUAUUUCCUUGGGCAUACUGGUUUUUAUAAACGUUUCAUUAAAGAUUUUAGCAAAGUUUCUAGACCCUUAUGCAAUCUACUUGCUAAAGAUAUACCUUUUAUCUUUAAUGAUUCAUGUCUUGUGGCUUUUAAAAAAUUAAAACAAUUGGUGACAUCAUCACCCAUCAUUCAGCCCCCAAAUUAGAGCUUACCAUUCGAGCUCAUGUGUGAUGCAUCUGAUUAUGCAGUAGGAGCAGUUUUAGGACAAAGAUUUGAUCGAAUCCCCCAUUUUAUUUACUAUGCUAGUAUGACAUUGAAUGAUGUACAAUUGAACUAUUCAACUACUGAAAAAGAAAUGUUAGCAGUAGUGUUUGCAUUAGAAAAAUUUCGAUCUUAUCUCAUUAGUUGUAAAAUAAUUGUAUUCACAGAUCAUACUGCUCUUCUCACAAAGAAAGAUGCAAAAGCUAGACUAAUUCGUCAGGUGUUACUUUUGCAGGAAUUCGACUUUGAAUUUAAAGAUAAGAAAGGCACAGAGAAUAUUAUGGCUGACCAUCUCUCUCGUCCCUAUUUUGACACAAUUACAGAACCAUUAACAUUGAAUGAGUCAUUCCCAGAUGAACAAUUGAUGAGUGUGGAAGUAUUACCAUAGUAUGCUGAUAUCGUUAAUUAUCUUGUUACAGGUCAACUUCCAGAGCAUUGGAUCAAGCAAGACAAAGCCAAAUUUUUUGCAGAAAUAAAGAAUUUCUUUUGGGAUAACGCUUAUUUGUUCAAGUAUUGUGCAGAUCAAAUUGUUAGACGAUGUGUCCUAGAAAAUGAAAUUCAGAAUAUUCUUUCAUUCUACCAUGAACAAGCUUAUGGUGACCAUUUCAGUGCUAAGAAAAUAGCGACUAAAGUUUUACGAUGUGGUUUCUAUUGGCCAACUAUAUUUCGAGAUGCUUAUACUUUCUGUUCUUCAUGUGAUAGGUGUCAAUGAAUGGGGAGCAUUACACGACGGAAUAUGAUGCCACUAAAUCCAAUUUUAGUGGCUGAGAUUUUUUACGUGUGGGGUAUCGACUUCAUGGGACUCUUUCCUCAUUCUUUUGGCCAUCAAUACAUAUUGGUUGCUGUUGACUACGUAUCGAAAUAGGUAAAAGCAAUUCCAUGUAGAAUCAGUGAUCACGAGGUGGUGAUAGGAUUUUUGAAAAGCAACAUUGUUUCGCGCUUUGGAUUCCCUCGAGCGAUAAUCAAUGAUGGUGGUGCCCACUUUUGUAACAAAGCAUUAAAAGCUUUUUUGACAAAGUAUUCAAUAACUCACAAAGUGGCGACCCUAUAUCAUCCGCAAACCAGUGGUCAAGUUGAGAUCUCCAAUCGAGAAAUAGAGCACAUAUUAGAAAAGACGGUGAGGCCAAACAGAAAAGAUUGGUCAUUAAGACUUGAUGAUGCAUUAUGGGCAUAUAGAACGGCUUUCAAGACCUCGAUUAGGAUGUCACCCUACAGGCUAGUGUAUGAAAAAGCUUGCCACCUACCUGUGGAACUCGAGCAUCGUGCAUAUUGGGCCAUUAAGAAAUUCAACUUUGACAUGCAGCAAGUGAGCUCAGAAAAAAGAUUACAACUGACAGAACUUGAAGAAAUUCGCAAUGACGCAUACGAAAAUGCCAAGAUUUACAAGCAGCGAAUGAAAGUCUUUCAUGACAAGUAAAUUAUGAGAAAAUCUUUCACUCUAGGUCAGAAAGUGCUUUUAUUCAAUUCUCGCUUGCACCUAUUCUCAAGUAAGUUACGCUCUCGAUGGUCUGGCUCCUUUAUUGUUUACACUGUUUUUCCACAUAGGGCAAUUGAAAUUAAAGACCCAAAGAACGAUGUCACGUUUAAAGUUAAUGGUCAAAGAUUAAAGCCAUAUCUAGAGUACCAACCACAUGGAGAGGACACCGAAAUAAAUUUGAGUGACCCACCAGAUUUGAAUUGAGUUUUUUUUUCUUUUUGGUGAUUUGAUUUUUUUUCCUUUUUUUUUAUUAUUCUUUUGCUAAUUGAAAUUAUUUUUGUAUAAGUGUGUUUGUUUAACCAUUAAGUUUUCUCUUAUCAUUGUUAAUCACGAGUGUUAUAGAUAAACAGUUCCUCCUGGACAUUCUUAAACUACUUCAACGUGUAAAAUCUCAUCUCAAAAGGCAGAUUCAAUUUUAUAAAACACAUCGUAUUUGGGCUCUGCAACCACCAGAGUUAGUAUCCUAUGUUAAGGAUUUAAAAAGCCAACUCAGAGACAUUGAGAGAAGUGUCUACAACAUCUAAUUGGAGCUUGAGGUAAAUUCAAUAAGAGGACGAUUGUAAUUUUCUUUAUGUGUUUUAGUUUGUUUUUCUUUGUUUGUGUGCUUUAGUUUGUUACUCCGGUGAAGUGGCAGAUAACGGUACUCCGUGACAAUCAAGUCGGUUACUUCAGUUUCCCAUAAUAACUGAUAUUCUGAGGUGAAGGUAUGGACAGAAAUGAGAUUCUAGCAAAGCUUCACAAUCGAUUCCCUUCACUUCCUCAGAAUGCCUUCCUUACAAUCUAUAAAGCUCAGUCCAAGCGCAUGCGAUUGCUCAUGAUGAAUAACAUACCUGCUGACAUCUGUUGGUUAAUCGAGGCUAAAGUACGAUUGGUAGGUGAGUUACCUUCAAAAUUUAUUGAAUACAUGUCUGGUUGUGGUAAAGGAAUUUAUACAAGAAAAUGAAGAGUUCAAAGAAUUUUUGUUGCUUGUCAUAAGUGUGCCAGAAUGAGUUGCGAUAAAAAACCAUGUUCUUUAGGAAUGGUGUCUAAUAAUAGGAAAGAUAAAAUUUAAUUCAUUAGGGAUAGCUUGAAUAAGUAGUCAUUGGAUGAUAUCUUUUUGUCUCUUGAAAUGCAUCCCAGUGGAUAUGUGCAAGGAGCGAUUCUCCAGUUAUGGUCAUUACUCCAGAAAGAGCAUGCACAAUAUAGUCGCAGGAAUCUGACUAUAAACAACCUUGUUUGCCAGUUUAUAAGAAAACUGGAUGGGAAGCCUAUCCUCGACCCAUAGAGGGCGUUCAAGCCGUUUCUGGACGUAAAACCACAGGAAGAUGUGAGCCACAAUUGCAACUACCUGUAAAUAUCCUUUUACUUCACUGUUAUUUUAUUUCACUGUUGUUUUAUCAUUUCCAUUAUUGUCUUUAAUAAUUUUAUUUUAUCAUUGUUUCUUUUCAUUUUACUGUUUCCUUUUUUACUCGCGAGCCAUGUGCUUUACGCGUUAUUUAACACUGACAUGUUACCUCAUACACAGCUGUGACCCAUUGUCACCAAGAUUCUUAAAUAUGACUUUUUGUUAAGCACUCACAAAUUAUUUUUGAGAAGUAUCCCAAUGGCAGCUACUCCCAAUAAACAAUUCAAUAACAUUUGUGUGCUUUCUCGAUUUAACUAUGGCAAACAUAAAGAGUUCGUUGAGGCAGCUAUAGAUCUUGGUCGAAGCAUAGUAGAGAGAAAAUUACACUUGGUGUAUGGAGGAGGUAAUCGAGGGUUAUCAAAAUUGGUCUCAGAAGCUGCUUUUGUCAUAGGAAGUCAAGUGUUAGGCAUCAUCCCAAGAGCCCUAAAACCUUUGGGCAGUUUGUCUGACUCACCGACUGGAGAAGAGUUAGUUGUCUCAGGUAUGCAAGAAAGAAUAACUAAAAUGCUUAAUCAUGCUGAUGCUUUUAUUUUUCUUUUAGGAGAUCUUGCAACACUAGAGGCACUUAUUACACUAGCAUCUUGGGCCCAUCUGCACAUUCACCAAAAACUCAUCGGUUUGUUAAAUGUCAAUAUCUUUUAUGAUAGCUUCAUCACAUUUCUUAACCAUGCAAUAAAAAACUAUUUCAUUCCUUUCAAUGCGAAAACUCUUUUUAUUUAUGCUCACACUACUAAUGAGCUACUUGAUAUGUUACAAGCUUAUAGACCGGAACCAGACCCAUGGACCUUUGUGUUGGAGCGUCCAAAUAAUGAUGGUAACAGUAGCCGCAAUAAGAAGUACAAAUUAGAUUUAACUCUCUACUUGUAAAUAUUUUCGUCUGUGUUGCACCACCCAGGUGAUGUCUUUUAAACGCUACUUCUUUCCUUUAAAACAUUGAAGACAAUGUUUGGUUUUGAUUGGGGGGAGGGAAUAGUCGACAAUUGUGGAAUCUUGGUUAAGUUUUUACUGAUUUUUUGUUGUAGAAACUAACUGAUGCUAACCUUUUGUGUUGAAGAUAGCUGAAUAUGGAGUGUAGUGACUCUAGAAACGUAUCUUUAUCGUUUGAAAAAAACAAAAAAAAAUUCAGACAUUUUCUUUUUCUUUAUUAAGCUUUGAUAUUCAUUUUUCUUCCUCUUUUUAAUUUCUCCUUUAUAAAUAUACAUUUUUAAAUUUUUGAGUCGAAGAUGGCGGAAUAUGGAGUGUAGUGCCUCUAACGCAUCUUCUUAGUUAAAAAAAAAAACUGUUUUCUUUUUCUAUCAUUUUAAGUGUAACUUUUCUAAUUAGUUUUUCUGCAUCAUUUUCACAUUUCUGCAUGCAUAUUUUCCUUUCAUGUUUAGAAUAGGUUGGGGGGUAGGAUGUUGUUUAAAAAAAAAUUGUAUGAUUUAUUUUAACAUUGGAUGACAUGAUUAAUUUCAAAUUUUAGUAUUUGUAUUAUCUUUGGUCUUAAGUGAGGUUAUGCUAUGUUUGCUACUCUACAUGUUGAUGUCGGAGACAAAUAUGAGCUGCUUGAAGGAAUGAACAUAUCAUAAUAAGUACCAAGUGAGUUUUGAGCCUAUCAUUUUUCUUGGAGAGCAACUUUUUUGCCCAUUCUUUAUACAACUUAGCAGUUUAUUAUUUUAUACACGAUCUCUAAUUUUUUUUUUAGUCAACCCUUAAAAAAAUUGUAAACUAAAAAAAAAAGAAAAAAGAAAAAAAAUGUGUGUUGCUACAUUUGGAGGCCCAUCUAACUAGUAGAUAUGAAAGAUUAUUUAGAGCCCUAAAAGAUGAUGGAAAGACCAUCUUUGAUCCGUUUGAGCCUUUCUAUCCAUUCCUUUUAUGAAAUAUCCAUAGUUAACCCUUUUGAGCCUUUAAAAAAAAUAUAUUUUCUUUGUCAAACUUAUCAUCUUGACCCACUCCGAUUUGGAGUAUUACCCGAUAUCUUACAAGUUCCAUCACCUAUUUAUAUUUGAGAAAAAUGUAAAUAAUUAUUUUGUUCAGUGAAGUUAUGCCAAACAAAAGCCAAAAAAAAAAGAAAAAAAGAAAAAAAGAAAAAAAAUUGUUGUUUCAAAAAUAAAAAUAACAAUAAUAGGUGAAAUCCACCUUGCAACUUUUUAAAAAAAAAUCUCUACAUUUUUCUCAAACAUAUACUUUGUUUUCCUUAUUUCCCCUGCUUUGUUAGCCAUGUCCCUAGCCUACGUGACGUCCUAAUAAAAGUCCUUCUUGAUUUUAGGGAACUAUAGUCUGAAGUAGAAGCUAGUUAUAUGGGGUAAAAAGAUGUAGUGGUGCAUAAAAUAUAUAUAUAUAAAUAAAUAAAAUAAAUAAAUAAAUAAAUUGGGUUGAGUAGUAUUUUUAUUUGACUUGAGAUCGUAUUAUUUCUAAGCUGAGGGCAUAUUUCUUUCAUCUUGGUGAGAGCAUGUGAUAUCACUUUUUUAUUAUUUUCUCUCAAUUACCAUUCAUUGGAGUGACUAUUUUUAUUAGGUUUAAUUUCUUUAUGAGAAUGUCACUAUUUCCAGUGAGAUUUUUGGGUUUAACAUGUCAUUCUUGAAAGUAGCUGUGACAAAGUCUACUGGGCUGAUUCAUGUGGAUGGUUGAUGUGGGUGUGAUAUUUCUUUAGACUGGAGAUAAUGCUUAUACUUUUAUUUUAUUAUUAUCAUUAGUCUGAUUGAAUAAACAUGAUUGUUAAAAAAAAUAUUAUUUUGGAUUUGAAUUUUGUUUUUGCUUUAUUUACUAAGGACUAGCAAUAAGCUGGUUGGGGGUGUGUUGAGUGUUAGAAAAUGUAUAUUUAUAAAGGAGAAAAUCGUCAUUUUACAUUUUAAGUCUUAAUAACACCCUUACUUUUAUGUAUUUAAGCUUCUUGUGAUUUAAUUACGUGUGUUUUAUUUUAAUUAAGUAUUUUAUAUAUUUUAGGGGCAUUAUGGUCAUUUCACAAUGAACGAGAGAUUGGACGACAAAACGGAUAUCACUUUUGAAAUUAGGACGGUCGAAAAACUUAGGAGGAGCAUAAAAGGAAAAAUGACACUGUUCACAUGUACAGUAUUGUCUACGUUACUGUUCACGAUACUGUUCACAUAGACGGAUCAAUGACGUGGCAUUGACCGAUGAUGUGGCAUUGACUGAUGAGGUGUCACGAUCCUGUUGGACUAAAAUUCUUAUACACUAUUGAUUGGUGAUGUGGCAGAAUGCUAGUUGACUAAAAAUUGCGCGUACGGUGCAUGCAUAUACACAGAAUUAUUUUCAACCAAACCGCGUUACUGUUCAAGCCGGGUCAAACCAUAUCACUGUUCAAACCACGUGGUCAAACAGCGUAUUGUUGACUGAUGACGUGGCGCAAUCCUGAGUGUCCAAACUGUUUUUAAUCUAAUGGCCAUGAUUUACUCAAUGUAUCUAUAAAAAGGGAGCCUCCCCCCCUAAUUUGGCAUAUCUGAUUCCAUUUUUGGGCUCCAUUUUUUGUAAUUCCUUCUUCAUCUUUUAUUUUCUAUGUAUUUUAAUAAAUUCCCAUUUUACUCUUAGUUCAAUUAUGAGUAGCUAAUUUUCUUUCAAGCUUGGGUUGAAGGUGAAGUCUCAACAUGUGUCAUGGGCUUUAUUUAGUAAAUUUAUUUUCUCUUCCCCUAUAGUUUUUGUGGAUGUUUUGACUUCUCGUCGAUAAAUAAUAAUAAUCUUGUCUAGAUAUCGCCCUAGUUUCACCGGCUCCCUAGUACAAUGUUAUUAUUAUUUGACACGAUAAGCCCUUAGCACCAUAUUGAUUAGAGUGUGGUUCAUGAGGUGUGGAUUCCCCCCUAAUGAUUUAAUUGGCACUAAUAAGGAAUAUUUAGCCCAUGGUGCAUGUUGAUGCAGAUCUAGAUACCCAAGCGCUUCAAUUAUAAAUGUUUUCUCUUCAAUUUAUUCCCGCCAUUUUAAGUUGAAUUUUAGGAUAAUUUAAAUCACUUCCACAACAAAUCCAACCAUUCUCAUAAAAAAUUAAUUCUACAUAUAAUUAAAAUCCACCUCCUCGUGGGAUCGACACUCGUCACCAUUGAUCUAUUUUACGAUAGAUUCGUGCACUUGCGAGUUGAAUAAAAUUUGCACAACAGUUAUCUCAUACUAGGCAGCAUAGCCGACCAUUCAAGGAGUAAAUAAGCAAAUAUCAUAAUAUAGGCAGCAUAGCCAACCAUAUAAAGAUUUACAUCAUAGUAGUCAUCACAAGAUAAAGGAAAUGUUAAAAUUGAAGUUAUAUAUGAAAAUAAUUUUGUCCCUACAUUAUAGUUGAAGUAUUACUUAUCUCUUAAUCUUGAUUUCUCUAAACCUUUCUAAAUUAAUGAUUUCUCUACUCUUGAUGUUAUGGCUUAGAAUAUAAAAGAAUGGAAUUUCUAGGUUGCAUUGAAAAUGAAAGGGGGUAGGGGGUAUUUAUAGGAUUUCUUAAGGCUAAUGGAUGGCUAGGAUUUUGCCAUAAUAACUCUUGAUCAAUGGUUGAGAUUAUUCUUCAUAAAUACCUUACUAAAUUCUAGAAUUCUUAACUCUCUCUACAAACUUCUCUUACAUCAUCACUUAUGUCAUUGCUUAUGUCAUCAUUACUUAUAAUUAAAUAUUUUAUUUAUUAUCAUUAUUAUUUUAAUACUUAUGGGGGCUUGUUAGCUUAAAAUAAAUUCUAUUAUAUUUAAGUGAGAAAAUUAUCCCUCACACAUUGACAAACUUUCAGUUAUACUAGAUGAUUCCUGGUGAAUUCGGCCACAAAAUAAGAUAUUGUCUGCCUUUUAAUCGUAUUGGAAGGCAUACAUUUAAUGUCAAACUCACUCAAUUCAAUUGCCCAUUAUACCAUCCUUCCUGAAAUGCUAGGUCAACUUAAUACUUUCUUAAGUGGAGUGUCUGACAGAACCCUAACAGUAUGGGCUAGAUAAUACGAUCGUAAUUUUUUGGCUAACAACACCAAUACUAAUGCUAGUUUCUCCAACUUCGAGUGAUGGGAUUCAUCUCCGACAAAUGCAUGGCUGACAUAGUAAAUAAGAAAUUGAGCGUCCUCUUCACUUCUCAAUAGUACUGCACUUACAACUACCUCUGAUAUAGUCAGAUACAACUUCAGCUCAUCACCCUCCUGCGAUUUUGCUAAGUUUGGAGUUUACGUGAGAUAAUUUUUCAAUGCCUCAAAGGCCAUGUCACAUUUAUCAUCCUAGGUGAAGUCAUUAAUCCCUAUAAGAGUUUUAAAUGAAGGGGUGCAUUUGUCUGACAACCACAAAAUGAAAUAGGUCAAAGUAACUGAUCUUCCCACCAGACACUAUACUUCUUUCUUGUUAGAAGGGGAUUUCUUUUCCAAAAUGGCAUACAUCUUGGGGGGUUUGCUUCGAUUCCUCGGUUAUGAACCAUGUAACUUAGAAAUUUGCCCAAAGUUACUUCAAAUGUGCAUUUGUUUGGGUUUAGCUUCAUUUAGUGCUCUUGAAUGAUUAUAAAUGUUUCCUCAAGGUGGUGUAUAUGAUCAAUUUCCAUCUGAAUCUGGACGAGCAUGUCAUCCUUGUAAAACAACAUCAUGUUUCUAAUUUGAUCUUUAAGCAUGGCGUUCAUGAGGUGGCUCCUACAUUCUUCAAUCUGAAAGGGAUCACGCGGUAAUAAUGGAGCCUUUAAUUUGUUACGAAGGUUGUUUUCUCCUAGUCCACUAGGGACAUCUGAAUUUGGUUAUAUCUUGAAAAGGCAUCCAUGAAAGUUAGCAAACCAUUCUCAGAAGUUGAGUCAAUUAACUAGUCUAUUCUAGGAAGCGAAAAGCUAUCCUUAGGGUAAACUCGAUUUAGAUCGGUAAAAUCUAUACGCAUCCACUUCUAUUUGUUUGCUUUCUUAACCAAAACCACAUUAGAAAUCCAAUCUUGGUAGAGUACUUCCCUAAUGAACCGUGCUUUUAACAAUUUCUCCACUUCUGCUUGAUUUACUUAUUGUGCCUCUGAUUGAAAGUCCUUUUUUUUUUGCUUAAUUAGUGGAUAUUCUAAAUCGACAUUCAAGGAGUGCAUUAUGUGAUCUGGUCAUAUUUCUAGCAUAUCCUUAUAAAGAGAUUCUCGUAUUCCUUCGUCGAGGCCUCUUCUAAAUUUUACUACUUAGAGAUAUCAUCUCUGUCAAGGCUUACUUCCUCUAUUGUUUUUUCCAGUUCUAUAGCCAGUUGUUUUCAAAGAAAUUCUUUUUCAAGGCAAAGAACUUUACUCUUCUGCUUCCCUAAUGAGGUUGGUAAAUCUCUCAUUUUGAAGCUAAUACUUUUCAUAAGUAAGGUAUAACUCUCUCUGGCAAUUUAUUGUUCUCCCUAACUAUUCCCACUUUGUUCUCUACUAAGAAUUUAUAGCCAAAGUGUACAUAGACAUUAUCGCUUUGAUCGAGUUUAAGAAAGUUCUUCCCAAAAUCAUUUUUGGAAAACAAAAAAUUUACAACAAAAAAUCAACCAUAGACGUUACUUGAUCUGGUGUUUUCUCUAUUGUAACUGGUAACUAAAUGGCUUCUUCAACUAUCACAAUUUCUCCCUCAAAGCCUAUCAAGUGUUUUUUAAUUGGCCUUAACUUUUCUUUCCCAAUGUUCAUCUUUUCAAAUGUCUCUAUGUAAAGUAUGUCGCAAAGCCCCCAUUAUCAACCAGGAUAUAGUGUGACAGUGUAUCUGGCAAUUCACUAUCAUUAUGGUUAUUAGCAAUACAUCGUUAUGGGGUAAUUUUGCUCCUGCUGUUUCUGCCUUUGUAAAGGUAAUGAGACAUUCUUGCUGUGGGUAGUAGCUGUACAUCACUUUUCUGGCUUUCCUUUCAAUUGCCCUAUGUGACAAGCCUUUUGUGCACAAAUCCCCAAGUAUGUUUUGAUCUGGACUAGAGAUUUCCCUUUGUCCCUGUUAUCUUCAUGUUUUCAAGGCUUCUUUUUAAUAUUGACGUCUUCUAUAAACUCCUUCAACUUCCUUAACUAAUUAGUUCUUUAAUUGCUCCUUACGUUCCUAGCUAUCUGAGGUGUCAUGCCUGUGAUCUUUUUUUAAAUAGCAAUAUCUCAACCUAUCUCAUUUUUUAGGUGGGGUAAUUAGUCGGUUUGACCACUUGAGAUAAGGCUUUUUCUUUAUAUGCAUUAAGACAUGCUCUCUCAUGGUGUUCAAUAAGGUGAAACAGUUGGAACUUGAGUGAAAUGCCAAUCAAGUUCUAUCUCACAAGGUGCGUCAUUCAUGUGGCUUACGAUUCACGAAGUUUUGCUCUCUUCACGUUCUUUACGAUCAGGCAGUCUCCUAAAUGGAGGUGGUUCGAAUCCACGUCUAAUGGAGUAGAGUUCUUCAGUGCUCAAAUCUCUUUAUGCCUUGCACAGUAGGUCAGUGUAGGUGCAAGGUGGGGUUUUUUAAGGUAACCAAAAGAAUUUCCCUGGUCUGAGACUCGCCACUAUCUCUAUUAGCGUCAUUCCAUCAUUAUACCCAUCUACUUGCAGUGCCUGCGCAUUAAAACGCACCUCAUAGUCCUUAAGACUUUUAUUCAUAUGCUGGGUGAGAGAUAAUAAAUGAGUUGAUUAUUUUUUCUGUUGCCUAGCUGAAAUGAAUUGCGCCACAAACUGCUUUGAGAGUUAAGAAAAUGACUUGAUACUUCUUAGCUCAGGUUGCAUGAACUACUACCUAACUAAUCAUGUUAAAGUGAGUAAAAAGACUUCACACAUGAUUGGCUUCAAAGCCACCUACAAUUCUAUCCAUGAUCUAUAUUACUCCAAGUGGUCAAUGGAGUCCUUUUGAUCAUUAUACACACUCGUUUGUGGCAACCUAAACCUUAGAAGCAAUGGCAUCUCCAUGAUUUCUUUUAUAAAUGGAGGUUCUAGAACAUCCAUCUUUUUCCAGUCUUCAGUGCCCUUAUAAACAUUAUUUUUUAUUCCCUAUAUUUAAACUUUCAUUUCCCAUAGCUCAAUUUUCCACUCUGGUUCUUUUAUUUUGACCUCAGCUUCAUCAGUGCAUUUAUCUCAUUUCGCAUAACCAGGUUUGAUGAUUUGUGCCUCUACGUGACCUUUUUCUCGCUCUGUUUAACUUAUAGCUGGUUUGUCUAACCUCAUUGUCUUAUCCCGGUUUGAAUCUCCUUCCUAGUAGUCACUCUAGUGCAUCUGAAUUGGAAUAAGAACUGGAUCCUAAUUGUGUCUUUUAUUUUUUACACCAUUGCUCCAACCCUUUUUUUAUUUUACUAAGUUGAUUUUCCCACUCUCGCUCCAUUAAACCAGAACUUGGCGAGCGUUUUGCGCGUCUAGUGGCGGCGACGACUCUGCUUUGUCUAGACUAUUGUUUUUUGAUGAUCAUCCUUUGUUGCUAUUACAAAUUUAAAGAUUAUAGCAUCUAUGAUUGCGCCGUAACUGAUCUAGAACUGUUAUUUUUUCCUGCCUGGGGUCGAACCUAGUGUAAUAGAUGAAAGUAACUUGUACACACAUUAAUAAAAAAAAAGUGUAAGGGGCAGCAAAUAGUGGUUUCUGGCAUUCCCACUCCGAUGCUUAAGUCAACAGAGUGCUUUUCUGGAGUUGAAUUCAAAGAGUCCCUAGUUCACUCAAGUGUCCAUGCCUUACUUUUGCCCCUUUUAUUUAAAAGUACUUUUAUUGAGAUAAAAAUGGGGUGUGAUUCAUAAAGUGGGUGUCGUUCUCCUAUUUUUGGGGUGCGUAAUGACUUAGUUGCGAAUUUCCUUACCCAAAUUCUCAUGCUCCCAUGAUUUUUUCUUGAUGAUAAGUGUUAUCCCGAUAUUUGAGCCUUCUGGACUCCUAUUGGCUCAUUCAAGGCUUAGAUCCGACCUUGAGGGUUCCUGACUUCUGGCCUAACAACUUUCAUCCCCGUUUAAUGAAAACGGUUAACCGAUAAUUUUCAUAAAGGAAUUACUUUCUAACCAUAAACUGUUUAGUAAGGACGGAGAAGCCAAAUUUGUUUUGUAGGUUUAUGGAAAUAAAUGGCUAAUCGAUAACUCCAAACGGUUAACUGACUAUUUAAAAUAUCCACUAAACGGUCAUUUAGAGUAGUUAAAACGUAAACCGACAGCAGCCAACAGCGAUAUGAUUUCUCUAAAAAAGUCAAUAACAAAUAGAUUUUAGUUGUAACUAUAAAAUGGCUUAAUCAAAUUCAAACACAUAGAGAUCCAAUAGUUAUCAUUGAGUUUGCUACUGAGUAUACAACCAUUAUUGAGCUUUAAACUUAAUUUUGUUUCAUUGAUUCACACUUUGAGCUUUCAUUUGUAACCAUAUACAUUGUGUUGGGAUACACUUUGAUUAAGAGAUUGGUGAUAAUCUCUUGUUGCAAAGGUCUAUUGACACAUUGAAAGUCAAUUGUAUUUGUCUAGACUUUUAAUCUCUUGGAAGUCCAAUAAAUGGUUCACCGUUAUCUUUCAGUACCAAAAAUAUUAUAUUUUCCUUAUAAAAUCAGUUUGUCAUUUCAAGAUUAAUGGUUGUCCAUUUUUGUCCAGACUUUUAAAUUUGCCCAAGAACAUCUUACGACUUUAAGAACUUAACUAAUUUAAUAUCUCCAACAUAUUAACCUAGUUUGUUAUUAUCAAAAUCAAUAUUAUGAAAAUAUGUAUGUUAAUAGUCUUCCCUUUUUUGAUGAUGACAAACCUUACAUGUCUUUAAAAAAAAUUCAAGAAUUAUUCCCCCUACAUGUAAGCUUCCUCUAUAUUUUUUAAGUUGAAAAUAGUUUCCAAUUUAACAAAUUUGUAACAAAAAUAUAAAAAUAUGAUUCCUUGUAACAAAAAUAUGAAAAUAUGAUUCCUCUUUGAUUAUAUCUACCAUCUUUCCCUUCAUCAUAAAAAAGAAAAAUAUGGAAGUAAAAAUAGUAAGAAACCAAGUUGUUACCCACACUGUCCAAGUAGAAAUUUCGGUAGAACCUCCUUCUAUCAACAAGUAUCUCCUCAACAAAUGUAAGUAAGUUUUACACCUAAAUGAAACCAAUAAAAACACUCAAAGCAAUCAUGGAAACUAACAUAUAAAAAUCAAACCAAUAUGCAAAGCAAUUAUAAUAAUCCAUGUAACCAUAAAACAUCAUCCAAAAACAUACCAUAAACUAUCAUUUAAAAUGUAAGCAUAUUUGUGCAAAAUCAAAAUACAGAAACUAAUAAUAAACUACUGCGGGGGAUGAGAUGAAGAAUAUAAAAGUGGAAUGCCAAGAGCAGUGAAGAUACACUGCUAACCAUCCAGAAUUUGCUGUUACUGAUAAAAAAUAUGUUGUUGCUGAAGCUAAAAGGCAGCAAAUUAAGCCUAAAGCUGCUGCUGCUGCUCAGACAGACCUUCAGAGACUGAGCGAUCCUUUAGAGUUAGAGACUAAUCAGUAUGCAUUUCAUGCUCUUCCGAAUCAAACUCCGCUUAUGCCUGUACAACUUCUCUUUGAUAUGGUACUCGAGGUCUAGCUCAUAUCUAAAAAUCAGGUAAUUGAUCAUGACAGUAGAUGUCAUUUAGCUCUCGAUCAUCCUCUGGAGCUACAAGGGUGUCCCAGUUCUUAGACGAGGUCGUCUUGACCAAUUUCCCAUUCCUCCUACAAAAUCCUAUACUCGUUAUGGCUUCUUCACUCAUCCUCUUCGUCUUCUCAUAGAUUGACUCUUAAAGGGGUUUAUGGAAAUGCCGGAGUAUCUUAGUAAUGAUACUACCAUAGGCAAAACAAUCGAUUAUUAAACACGGGACUACUUAAUAUAUGCUUCAGAACAACAUAGCCUAGGUUAACAGGUGGCUCCUUAAGAAGACUAUCCAAUAAUCUAACAUCCAUCUUAGUCACCUCAUCCGAAUGCCCCUUUAUAGGAGUAAUAAUAUGUUGUAAUAUGGAGUGGAGGAACCUAAGCUAUAAAAGUAGCAACUGAGAACGAAAAAGGAGAGAGGAUAUCAUCUGAAAGGUCUCUAUGCCUACAGAUGUUUCUAACAGCACAAGAAUGAACGAAAUCAGCAAAUAGGAGGCCUUUCCUAGAUGUAUAGAUCUUGUGACCCAUAUUCUCAAUGGUUAGGAUUUGGUUUAAGUCCUCCAUAUCAAAUUCUGUGGGGACCCCUUCCCACAUUGGUGAUUAUCAUAUCUAGCCUAUUUGCAGAAAUUUUCAUAUUCGAGUAAAAUACGCGAACUAGAUUAGGAUAAAUCUGCUCCUUAAUACUCAAAGCCACCUCCCAAGGUUCUAACAUCACAUUUACACUUUUACUACAUGCAACCAACUCUUCAAAGUCAUCAAAAUCCACAUAGUAAGAAUCAAUUACCUUACGACCGAUAAAGCGGGUUUGAAAGCGUCUAGCCAAGGGAGCAAUGGGGAAAUGGAUUCUCUCGAACUCAGGAGUCUCCCUAGGAGGUACUGGGAUCCUCCUUGUAGUUUGUUUUCCUUUUGCGCCGGUCCUUGAUGUUUUAGAUAUUGAUAUGGAUGCAAUAAUAGGAAUUUUUUAUACUUGAUGAAAUGGAAAGAUGUGAACCAAUUAAAACGAAUAUUGAUUAGUGUUAAAAUUUGUAUGUUUAUUAAGGGGGAAAAUGUUAUUUUAUGCUUAUAAUAUAAUUUACAUUUGUAAUUAUGUAACAUAUUAGGAAUUUCUAAAUAUUUGAUUUUGUGUAUUUUUGUGUGUUUAUUAGGUAAAAAUAAUAAUUUCACACAAUUUGAGGCUCCAAACAAAUGUACGGAUGUCAAAUUUGGAUUUCAGAAGUUUGAGAAAUUAAGUCAUUGUUAAGGAGGAUCCGCUACUUUUGUUGUAAAUUUAUAAGUUUCGAAAAUUUGAUUUAUUGUAGACAGAUAAGUGAGUUUGACACAAUAAAUUCUUAAUAUCUUAAUAUAAAGUAUGGUAAAAUGGUAUUUUGACUUAUUGUAGACAAAUUAAAUUUGGGCACAAUAAAUACUUAAUCCAUAAUAAAAUUAAUAGGAAAAUAAUAAUAAUUUAUAUAAUUAAUCUUUUGGGCAAUAAAUCUAAAUAAAAAAUGGAAAAAAAAUUAAAUUUUAUUUAUUACUAAGAGUGGAUCCAUAACCCCAAAUAAUUUAAUUUUAUAGUUUUGCUCAAAUUAAAUUGCAUAUAUUUAAUUUUUAUUUUUAUUUUUUAGAUAAACUAAAAUAAACAAAAUUAAUAUUUUCUCUGUGGAUCGACCUCGGACUCACCGAGCUAUAGUAUAACUAGGCACUUUUAUACUUGCGAGUAAAAUUAAACACUUUUAAGUCGUGUCAAGUUUUUUGGCACCGUUACCGGAAAAAAGUAUUUAUUUUAUUCUUUUUUUUUCUUUUGUGUAAAUUUUCAUUUAACCCCUUUUUCUUUCUUAAAUUCUGCUAUAUCCACAAAAUCUUUCUGAAUCUCACUUUCACCCCAAAAAUUCUCGUUUCUGACUCAUUCUUCUUAUAAUUACAGUUUGACCACAAAUUAUACAAAAAAAUUAAAUAGGUCCCUUGCCAAAAUUUCCUAUAAUACUCAAAUUUUGACAUACAACUUGAACUUCUUUGGACCAUAUUUGGACUUCUAUGGACCUUAUUUGGACUCAAUAAAAAGAAUAUUAACUUUAAAAAUUACUACGAAGGCUCAUUAAUUUGAAUUAAUCACAUAAUUUUUCUUCUUAUAAUUGCAGUUCGACAACAAAUUAUUAAAAAAAUUUAAAUGGAUCCCUUGCCAAAACUUCCUAUAAUACUCAAAUUCCGACAUACAACUUGAACUUUUUUGGACCAUAUUUGGACUUCUAUGGACCUUAUUUGGACUCAAUAAAAAGAAUAUUGACUUUGAAAAUUACUAUGAAGGCCCAUUAAUUUGAAUUAAUCACUUAAUUGGUUGGUAAUUUUUUAAAAUUAAAAAAAAGAGAGUCUACACUUUGAGAUAAUUAUUUCUUUUCUUUCUUUUUUUAAUUUCCACAAUUUAAUUUUCAAAUUUAUUUUAUUUUUCUUUUUGGCAUUUAUUUUGUUUAUAUGUUUGGUUUACUGCUUAUUUACUUAUUUUAAUUUCAGUCAGUUAAUUUUUAGUUUAUUUAAUUAUUUAUUUAUUUUUUCUUGUACAUAUAUCUUGUUUAAUUUUCAUUUUGUUUUUAGUUUGUGUAGUUUUCAUUUUUUACGUUAUUCAUUUGUUUGUGUAUCAUCUUUAUGACAUAAUUUCACACAGACACAUCAUCAUCAUUAUUGCAUGAGACGUUGGUCUCGAACUUCAAGGGGCAUGUUAAUUCCUAAAUCUCAAUCAUGUCACCAAGAUGAAAACAUUUUGGGCCAACUUAAUCCUCCUAUUGAUCAGGGAGACAACCAAUCUCAACAUGAUCAAAAUCAACCAAGAACUUUGAGAGAUACAUGAAUCCAACAAGAACCGAAACACCGUCUUGUAUAGUAUUUCCUUUAUAAGCUUCUCAAUUCAACUCCAAACCAGGUAUUAUCCAACUUUUACCAACAUUUCAAGGUUUAUAAUCUGAAAAUCCAUACUUGCAUCUAAGAGAUUUUGAGGAAGUUUGUAAUACAUACACAAACCAAAAUUUUAGCAUGAACAUAAUUAGAUUAAAGCUUUUUCCAUUUUAUUAAAAGAUAAAGUUAAAACUUAGCUAUAAAACCUUAGAUCUGAAUCAAUAAGAACUUGGAAUAACAUGCAAGAACAGUUUUUGAAAAAAUUAUUUCCACCUCAUAGAACCAAUUCUUUUAAAAGGAAAACCACUUCUUUCACUCACAAAAAUGGAGAAACAUUAUACCAAUGCUGGGAUAGAUUUAAAGAAUUACUUAACAUAUGUCCACACUAUGGUUUUGAAACUUGGCAAUUGGACACUUAUUUUUACGAGGGCUUAACACCCCAAAGUAGACAAGUUGUAGAAAUGAUGUGUAAUGAUGAAUUUAGAGAUAAAAAUCUUAAAGAUACACUAGACUACCUUGACCAAUUAGCUGAAAAUGUACAACAUUGGGAUACGGUUGACACUUUUGAAUUGACAAAUAAACCACAACCAUCUCUAUCCAGUGGAGGAAUCCAUAACCUUAGGGAAGAUCAUGAUUUACAAGUAAAAUUUGCAUCCCUAACUAGGAAGGUUGAAGCUUUGGAGAAUAAAAAAUGUGAUCAAGUAAAAUCUAUUCAAGAAAUUGCAUGUGAUGUUUGUAGUUCUAAUGAUCAUUUCACUCAAGAUUGUUCCAUUUUGCCUGCACUUAAAGAAUGUUUGCAUGAUCCCGGUAAUGCCAUUAAUAAGUCAACCCAUAUUCACAAACUUAUAAUCAUAAUUGGAGAAAUAACCCAAAUUUUAAUUGGAGGAAUAAUAAUAAUGCACAAUCUUCACAAGCACCACCUCCACAAAAUUUUGAAAAUGCUCAGCCUUAUGCACCAUAUGUUCUACCACCAUGGAAAAAUUUAGAAGAUACAAUGCAUUCAUUCAUUAGAAAGCAAGAUGCUAUUAACAAUCAAAAGGUACAAACCUUUGCUGAUUUGAAAGACACUCUAGUUAAAAUUGCUUGUGCACUCACAAUUUAAGAAAAGAAAAAAUUUCUAGCUCAACCACAACCAAAUCUUAAGAUUCAACAAAAUUCACUGAUGGACCAAGUCAAGUCAGUUAUAACUCUUCAUAGUGGUAAGGUUAUUGAUAGACCUAUUCCUGAACCAUUUCAAGAUAAAGACAAUGAAAAUUCAAAGGGUAAGGAAGGGUUAAAUAAACUUACACCUAGUGAAGAAAUAACUAUUGUUCCAUAUGAACCAUCAUUUCUGGAUACAUUGAAUAAACCAAGAAAAUCAAAUCACUCUUCUGAAAUUUAUGAAAUCUUUAAGCAGGUGAAAGUUAACAUUCCUCUAUCAGAUGCAAUCAAACAGGUACCUUCAUAUGCCACAUUUUUAAAGAACUUAUGUACUGUCAAGAGGAAAUUGAAGGUGAGAAAUAGUGCUUUCAUCGUUGAACAGGUAAGUAUUAUCCUGUCUACUAAUAAUAAGUUGAAAUAUAAAGAUCAUGGUUGUCCUAUUAUUCUUGUAUUAUUGGAGAUCAUAAAAUUGAGCAUACUUUGUUAGACCUUGGUACUAGUGUUAAUUUGCUUCCAUAUUCAGUUUAUCUUCAACUUAAUCUUGCUAAGUUAAAAUCAACUUUAAUUAUACUUUUGCUUGCCGACAGAUCAGUUAAAGUACCAAAAGGAAUAGUGGAGGAUGUUUUAGUACAAGUUGAUAAAUUCAUAUACUCUGUGGAUUUUAUUGUCUUAGAAACUGAAUCUGUUGUGAAUGAUUAUAAACCAAUUUCUAUAAUUUUGGGUCGACCAUUUUUAGCAACCGCUAAUGCUUUGAUUAAUUGUUGGAAUGGUUUAAUGAAUUUUUUGUUUGGAAGUAUGACUCUGGAAUUGAAUAUUUUUAACAUGUGUAGGCAACCUAAUGAAGAAAAAGAGAAUGAAGAUGAGAUUGAUGAACAAAAGGAAUUGCUUAAAUCUUUUAUUAAGAAAAAUAUUCAAAAAGGCAAUUUUUUUUUAAAUUAGUGAUACUUGUUUGGUUAAUUCAAUUGAAUCAAAUAAGCAACUUGAACAUGAUACUUCUAAUAUAAAUUUGUUGCUUGAUUUUUGUCAGACUUUACAAAAUGAUGAUGGGAAACCAAAAUUUGACAAGUUUGGAAUCAUUGAAACGACUGAACAACAAGAAGCACCUAAAUUAAAAUUGAAACCUUUGCCAGAGGGAUUGAAAAUGCUUAUCUUGGAGAAGAACAAACUUAUCCUGUUAUGAUUUCUUAUACCUUAUCAAGCAACCAAGGUAAGUUACUAUAUGUUAUUAAAAAGCAUAAAAACGCAAUUGGAUGGACUUUAAAUGAUUUUAAAGGUAUUAAUCCUUUAAUUUGCACACAUAGAAUCAAUUUGGAAGAAAAUGCCAAAACAUGUCAACAACCUUAAAGAAGAUUAAACCCACACAUGAAAGAAGUAGUAAAAACAGAAGUUCUUAAAUUACUUGAUGCGAGAAUUAUCUACCUUCUCUUUGAUAGAAAGUGGGCAAGUCCUACACAAGUAGUGCCUAAAAAAUAUGGAAUCACUGUUGUUGAAAAUGAAAAAGAUGAAUUAAUUCCAACACGAAUUACAUCUAGUUGGCAUAUGUGCAUUGAUUAUAGAAAGUUAAAUGAAUCCACUAGAAAAGAUCAGUUUUUAUUACCAUUUCUAGACCAAAUCUUAGAAAGAGUAGCUGGACAUCCCUAUUACUGCUUUUUAGAUGGAUAUUUAGGUUAUUAUCAAAUUCCUAUAGCACUUGAAGAUCAAGAAAAGACCACAUUUACAUGUCUCUUUGGAACACUUGUAUUUAAAAGAAUGCUAUUUGGACUUUGUAAUGCUCCUGCAACAUUUCAAAGAUGUAUGCUAAGUAUUUUCAGUGAUAUGGUUGAACAUUGUUUAGAGGUCUUUAAGGAUGAUUUGACUGUAUUUGGGAAUUCUUUUUAUGCUUACCUUGAUAAUUUGGAAAAGGUUUUAAAAAGAUGUGUUGAAAAUGAACUCGUAUUAAAUUGAGAAAAAUGUCAUUACAUGGUCAUGUUAUAUCUGUUAAAGGAAUUGAAGUUGACAAAGCAAAAAUUGAAGUCAUAUUUAAAUUGCCACAACCAAAAACAGUUAGAGAUGUGCGAUCCUUUUUAGGACAUGCAAGAUUUUAUAGGAGGUUUAUAAAAAACUUUAGUGCUAUAACUAAACCACUUUGUAACCUCUUAUUUAAAGAUACACUAUGUCAAAAAUCUUUUGAGAAAAUAAUUUGUCUAUUGACAUCUGCACGUAUUAUGCAAUCUCCUUAUUGGUCUUUUCCUUUUGAAUUAAUGUGUGAUGCAAGUGACUUUGCUAUUGGUGCUGUUUUAGGACAAAGAAAGGAUGGUAAGCCAUUUAUGAUUUAUUACGCGAGUGUAAGACUUUGGAUAGUACUCAAAUGAAUUAUUCGACAACUGAAAAAGAAUUACUUGCUGUGGUGUUUGCAUUAAAUAAAUUUCAUUCAUAUUUGCUUGGUUCUAAAACUGUUGUUUUUACUGAUCAUGUUGUUGUGAGAUAUUUGAUGAUUAAACAAGAUGUCAAACCAAGACUAAUUUGUUGGAUUUUGUUACUUCAAAAAUUUGACCUCACAAUCAAAGAUAAAAAAGGUGCCGAAAAUGCCAUUGUUGAUAAUUUAUCAAGACUCACAUAUGAAUUCUGCACUAACAUAACACUCAUUAAUGACUCCUUCUCGGAUGAAUUUUUAUUUUCUGUUACUUCAAUGCCUUAGUAUGCUAACAUUGUUAAUUUUCUUGUUACAGGUAAAAUGCCUUUACAAUGGAAUACUCAAGACAAGAAGAAAAUUUUUAUUGAAGUAAAGAAAUUUUAUUGAGAUGAUCCUUUCUUGUUCAAAUAUUGUCCUGAUUAGAUUUUUUAGCGAUGCAUUCCUGAUAAUGAGGUAAGUUAUGUCAUUAGUUUUUGUCAUUCUGAAGCAUAUGGUGAACACUUUUCUUCAAGAAAAACUACAACAUAAAUUUGUAAUGUGGCUUUUAUUGGCCUAUCAUAUUCAAAGACACAUAUGAAUUUUGCAAAACUUGUGAAAACUGUCAAAAAUUGGGAUCAAUUACUAAAAGAAGAAUGAUGCCCAAAAUCCCAUACUUGAGAUUGAAAUAUUUGACUGUUGGGGAAUUGAUUUCAUGGGUCCAUUUCCACCAUCUUUUGAAUUUGUGUACAUAUUAGUUGCAGUUGAUUAUAUCUCAAAAUGGAUUGAAGUAAUUUCUUGUCGAAAUAAUGAUAGCAAAACUGUGGUUAAAAUUUUAACAGAAAACAUUUUAAGUCAAUUUUGGGAUUCCUUGAGCUAUUAUUAGUGAUGGAGGUAAGCAUUUUUGUAAUAAGUCAUUUGAGUUUUUAAUGAAAAAAUAUGAAAUUACAGAUAAAAUUAUUAUCCCUUAUCAUUGUCAAACAAAUUGUCAAGUUGAAUUAGUAAAUAGAGAGAUAAAACAAAUUUUAGAAAAAAUAGUUAACCCAAAUCGCAAAGAUUAGUCUCUUCGACUGACUGAUGCAGUGUGAGCCUGCCGUACUACAUUUAAGACGUCUUUAGGGAUGUCACCCUAUUGGCUAGUUUAUGUUAAACAUUGUCACUUACCUGUUGAACUUAAGAGUAAAUCAUUUUGGGCUAUUAAAGCUUUUAAUUCAAAUUUAGAUAAUGCAUUAAUGUGUGAAAAUUUUAAUUGAAUGAACUUGAGGAAUUAAGGAAUAAUGCAUAUGAAAAUUCAAGAAUUAUUAAGGGAAGAACAAAAAAUUUUCAUGAUAAAAGAAUUUUUUGGAAAACAUUUGAGAUUGGUCAAAAAGUGUUGCUUUAUAAUUCUCGUCUUAAUUUGUUCACAGGAAAGUUAAAGUCAAAGUGGAGUAGCCCAUUUGUUAUAAAAAAUGUAUAUCCGUAUAGAGCCGUAGAAAUUGAGAAUCCAAAGAAUAGUAUUGCAUUUAAAGUUAAUGGACAGAGAUUAAAAUCAUAUCUGGAAUACCAACCACGUGAAGAAAGUACCGAAAUAAAUUUGAGUGACCCACCAAAUCUUGAUUAAGUUUCUAAUGAGUGAUUUAACUUUUCACUGUUGCUUUACCAUUUGAAUUGUUUGAUUGUCUUGAAUGAUACGCGUUAUGAUGUUUCUUACUUAAGUGUGUUUGAUAUUGUGCUUUUUGCGUCAUUAUAUAUCAUGAGCACCUCAAUAAGGAAGUUUAUGUUCACACAUCUUAAAAACCUUUUGCGAGUGAAAUUUCACUUGAAAUGCCUGAUUCAAAACUAUAAAUCGCAUCCAAUUUGGGAUCUGCAACCACCAACAUUAGUGUCCAACAUUGAGGAUCUAGAAAGACAACUCAGAGAAAUAGAGAGUGGUAUAUGCGAAUUCCAAUUGGAGCUUGAAGUUAACUUAAUAAGAGGACGAAUGUGAGUGCAUUUUCCUUUUUACAUUGUGUUUUUCUUUUUGUUGUUUGCUUUCACAUUUGAUUUAAUUUUACAGAUUUUAUUUUCUUUAUUUUGGUGUGUUUUGAUUUAUUUUCCUGUAUAAAUGACGGAUAACGGUACUCCGUGACUUCUUAAGUCGGUGUUGAGUGUUAGAAAAUGCAUAUUUAUAAAGGAGAAAACCGUCAUUUUACAUUUCAAGUCUUACUAACAACCCUUAUUUUUAUGUAUUUAACCUUCUUGUGAUUUAAUUACAUGUGUUUUAUUUUAAUUAAGUAUUUUAUGUAUUUUAGGGGCAUUAUAGUCAUUUCACAAUAAAGGAGAAAUCAGACGGCAAAACGGACAUCACUUUUGAACUCAGGACGGUCAAAAACCUUAGGAGGAGCAUAAAAGGAAAAAUGGCACUAUUCACAUGUACGGUACUAUUCACGUGUACGGUACUGUCUACGUUACUGUUCACGACAAUGUUCACAUAGACGGAUGAUGACGUGGCAUUGACCGAUGAUGUGGCAUUGACUGAUGAGGUGUCACGAUCCUGUUGGACUAAAAUUCUUAUGUACUGUUGAUGGUGACGUGGCAGCAUAUCAGUGGACGAAAAAUCUCGUGUACGGUGCAUGCAUCACACAGGAUUAUUUUCAACCAAACUGCGUUACUGUUCAUCCGGGUCAAACCGUGUUACUGUUCAUCCGCGUGGUCAAACCGUGGACUGUUGACUGAUGACGUGGCGCAAUCCUGAGCGUCCAAACUGUUUUUAAUCCGAUGGCCAUGAUUUACUCCAUGUAUCUAUAAAAAGGGGGCCUCUCCCCCCUAAUUUGAUAUCUCUGAAUCCAUUUUUGGGAUCCAUUUUCUGUAAUUCCCUCUCCAUCUUGUAUUUUCUUCGUAUUUUAAUAAAUUCUCAUUUUGCCCCUAGUUCAACUAUGAGUGGCUAAUUUUCUUUCAAGCUUGGGUUGAAGGUGAAGUCUCAACAUGUGUCAUGGGCUUUAUUUGGUAAAUUUAUUUUCUCUUCCCCUCUAGUUUUUGUGGAUGUUUUGACUUCUCGUCGACAAAUAAUACUAAUCUUUUCUAGUACCGCAUUGGUUUCACCGGCCCUCUAGUACAAGGUUAUUAUUAUUUGGCACGAUAAGCCCUUAGCACCAUAUUGAUUAGAGCGUGGUUCAUGAGGUGUGGAUUCCCCCCUCAUGAUUUAAUUGGCAUUAAUACGGAUUAUUUAGCCCAUGAUGCAUGUUGAUACGGAUCCGAAUACCCAAGUACGUCAAUUUAAUAGAUUUUCUCUUCAAUUUAUUCUCGUCAUUUCAAUUCCAAUUUUAGAAUUUAUUCUUGCCAUUUUAAUUUAAGUUUUUGCAUAUUUCAAAUCAUUUCCACCAUAAAUCCAACCACCCAUUUACAAAAUUAAUUCUAUACACAAUUAAAAUCCACCUCCUCGUGGGAUCGACACUCGUCACCAUAGAUCUAUACUACAAUAGAUUCGUGCGCUUGCGAGUACAUUAAAAUUUGCACAACAAGUUUUUGGCGCCGUUGCCGGGGAGGUAAGUAAUUUUAAUUCAUAGAAUUAAUUUUUGUGAAUAAUUUCUUUUAUUUGUUUUCUUGUAUUUUUUUUAUUAUUAAAAAAAAAGAAAAAAAAAAGUGAAUCUACAUUUAAAGGUUAGUAUUUCUUUUCUUUUUCUCUUCUUUAAAAUUUUGUAAUUUAAUUUUCCAUUUAUUUUUCUUUGUAAUUUUUUUUUGUUUAUCUUAUUAAUUUAAUUUUUAGUUAAUUUCUUUCACGUAUUUAUUUUUGUGUAUUUUUAUAGAAAGGUUGUAAUAGCGCAAUAAGGUUAGUAUCGUAAUUUCUGCCUCUUCUUUAUUUUUAUUUGUUUUGUUCCCAUCUUUAUUAUUUGUUUUGUUUGCAUCUUUAUUUCUAUUUUAUUUAUUUUGCAUGCAUGGUCGUAGGUCAUUAUUACCUAAUCUUGAACCUAUAGACCUUGAAUUAGAAAAAACACUUCGCACACAAAAGCACAUUAAAAAUAAAUUUGAAAUGGAUUUGCAACCACAAGAGAGGCCAUUUAAGGACUACUUCAGUCCCUUAGCUAAUUUGAGUACAUCAUGCAUAAGAUACCCAAAUGUAGCUGCUAGGAGUUUCGAAUUAAAACCUAGUGUGCUAAAUUGUCUCCCCACAUUUUAUGGCCUAGAAAAUGAGGAUCCAUAUAAUCAUCUGAAUGAUUUUCAUGCCAUUUGUCAAACUUUUAAAUAUGAAAAUUUUUCAGACGAUGAUGUUAAACUUAGACUAUUCCCAUUUUCUUUAAAGGAUAGAGCUCGUUCAUGGCUUAAUACAUUGCCUGCCAAUAGCAUUUCAUCAUGGGAACAAAUGGUAACGAAAUUUUUGAAUAAAUAUUUCCCAGUGCAUAAAACCAAUGCUAUUCGCAGGGAAAUCUCAGAGUUUACCCAGAGAGAAGACGAGCAAUUUUUCGAAACUUGGGAGCGAUUCAAUGGGCUACUCUUGAAGUGUCCACAUCAUGGGUACGAGAAAUGGCACCAAUGCCAAUACUUUUUGGAGGGAUUAUUGCCGAAUGUGCAAGAAUGGCUAAUGGCAACAAGUGGAGGAGAGCUAAUGUCAAAAAGUGCAUCAGAGAUUUGGGAAUUCUUCCAGCGACAAGCGGAUAAUUCCCAACAACGGAGUCGAUCACUCAGGAAUACUAGACGAAAUAAGGGAGUAAAUGAGGUUCAAAUUGGCGAGUCAACUUCGGGAAUCAAAGAAGUCAAGGAGAUGGUUGAAGGUCUUGCUCGACAAAUAGCAUCGUUAUCGACUGCUAAAUCAACAGAACCACAUGACCAUGACUCAUACUCAGAUCAAGCCAAUGCCAUAGGUGUAAUGAGAAAGCCAUCAAAUUACAACCCAUACUCCAACACAUAUAACCCUGGAUGGAGAGACCACCCCAAUUUUUCAUGGUCUCAAGGAUUCCAACAGAGCGGACCAGCAGCUCCAGCUCCACCAAUUCCACAAAAUCCUCAAGCCUCUCAGCCACCAUUUAGACCAUACAAUCAGAACCAGAACUACUCUCAACCCAGACCAUGGGAGGAUGCAUUCCAGAAUUUCAGGAAUGUUACUCACUCCACGAUUGAGCAACAGAACCGCACCAUUGAUGGACUACAAAAUGAGUUGAGAGCAGGCUUCAACUCACAAGCUCAAUCUGUUUCAAGCCUCGAAAAGAUGGUGGGACAACUUGCUUCUUCAGUUCAGACAUUGGCAAUGACUGUUGAGAAAGGCAAAUUUCCAAGUCAACCAGUGCCUAAUCCUAAAGGAGUAUAUGAAGCAAGUACCAGUUCACCACAGCAGCAUGGAGAGAUCAAAGCAGUAAUGACCUUGCGAAAAGGAAAGGAAGUCGACAACAAAGUGGAGAUGCCGGUGACAAAAGAAAAUCAAAUUGUACCUGUGAAUGUUGAGGACUCAUCACCGGAGGAGAAAGAAGAAACUAACCCACGAGAAUACGUUCCCAAAGCUCCAUUUCCUCAAAGGUUAGCUAAAGGAAAGAAGGGAAAAUCCACAGGUGAGAUUCUUGAAAUCUUCAAACAGGUAAGUGUUAACAUCCCUUUGCUUGAUGCUAUUAAACAAGUUCCAUCUUAUGCCAAGUUUCUUAAAGACCUUUGUACUAAAAAGAGAAAUAUGCAUGUUCAAAAGAAGGCAUUUUUAACAGAAAACGUUAGUUCUAUACUCCAACAUAAAAUUCCUUUAAAAUGCAAAGAUCCAGGCUCCCCCACUAUCUCAUGUAGUAUAGGGAACCACACAAUUGAGAAUGCUUUGUUGGAUUUAGGAGCUAGUGUAAAUCUGUUGCCUUAUUCAGUAUUCGUGAAACUUGGACUAGGAGAAUUACACCCAACUCCAGUGGUGUUACAACUUGCAGAUCGGUCUACGAAAAUACCUCGUGGUAUUGUGGAGGACGUGCUUAUCCAGGUAGACAAGUUUUAUUUUCCUGUUGAUUUCAUUGUAAUUGACACUCAACCAAUACAGGAUUCAAGGAAGCACAUCCCCAUUAUUCUAGGCCGACCUUUCUUGGCAACUGCGGAUGCUCACAUUCAAUGCAGGACUGGAAAUAUGCAGUUGUCCUUCGGCAACAUGACUAUGGAACUGAACAUCUUCAACAUUGCCAAACAACCUCACACUGCAGAUGAUGGAAUUGUUGAUGUGGAUUUAAUUGAAGCAUUAGUUGAUGACACUUUUCUUUCAAACCUUAGUGAUGAUCCUUUACAAACAUGUUUAACUCACUUUGGUUUGGAUUUUGAUAUUGACAGAUCGGUCGAUGAGGUCAACGCCCUGCUUGACUCAGCACCAUCUAUGGAUACUAAUAAAUGGAAGUCAAGAGUUGAACAACUAGCACCAUCAGAGAAGCAACUCAUUCCAUCAUCAGAAACACCACCGAAACUCGAGCUCAAACCAUUGCCCAACACUUUGGAAUAUGCGUUUUUGGGAGAAGAAAGCACUCUGCCGGUAAUCAUCUCAUCAUCCCUCAAUGACGAACAAAAAGGUAAGUUGUUAGAUGUUUUAAAAGAGCAUAAAGGGGCAUUAGGAUGGACUAUAGCAGACAUAAAAGGUAUAAACCCAGUAGACUGCAUGCAUUACAUUCACCUUGAUGAAAAUGCUAAAACUACUAGGGAGAUGCAACGUCGGUUAAAUCCUAACAUGAAAGAAGUUGUUAGAACAGAAGUCCUUAAGCUAUUAGACGCAGGUAUCAUUUACCCCAUUUCUGAUAGUUCAUGGGUCAGUCCUGUACAAGUUGUCCCCAAAAAGUCAGGAGUCACAGUAGUUACGAAUGCUGAUAAUGAAUUGAUACCCACUAGAGUAACUACAGGAUGGCGUGUAUGCAUUGAUUAUAGAAAGUUGAAUUCUGUCACACGUAAAGACCAUUUUCCUUUACCAUUUAUCGAUCAAAUGCUUGAUAGAUUAGCAGGCCAUGAAUUUUAUUGCUUUCUAGAUGGCUACUCAGGAUAUAAUCAGAUUCCCAUAGCACCAAAAGAUCAAGAGAAAACUACUUUCACUUGCCCUUUUGGCACAUUUGCAUAUAGGAGAAUGCCAUUUGGAUUAUGUAAUGCACCUGCUACAUUUCAACGAUGCAUGUUAAGCAUUUUUUCUGAUAUGGUUGAACGAUUCCUUGAAGUCUUUAUGGAUGACUUUUCUGUCUUUGGUGAUUCGUUUGAUCAAUGUUUACAUCAUCUAACACUAGUUCUGCAGAGAUGUAUCGAGAAGAACUUGGUCUUAAAUUGGGAGAAAUGCCAUUUUAUGGUAAAACAAGGUAUUGUUCUCGGUCACAUCAUUUCGAGCAAAGGUAUUGAGGUUGACAAAGCCAAGGUGGAUCUCAUUUCUAAUCUUCCUCCACCUAAAACAGUCAGAGAAGUAAGAUCUUUCCUUGGGCAUGCUGGUUUCUAUAGACGUUUCAUUAAAGAUUUUAGCAAAGUUUCUAGACCCUUAUGCAAUUUACUUGCUAAGGAUGCACCUUUUGUAUUUAAUGAUUCAUGUCUUAUGGCAUUUGAAAAAUUAAAGCAUUUGUUGACAUCAUCACCCAUCAUUCAGCCCCCAAACUGGAGCUUACCAUUUGAGCUCAUGUGUGAUGCAUCUGACUAUGCAGUAGGAGCAGUAUUAGGACAAAGAGUUGAUCGAAUUCCCCACGUUAUUUACUAUGCUAGUAUGACAUUAAAUGAUGCACAGUUAAACUAUUCAACUACUGAAAAAGAAAUGCUAGCAGUAGUGUUUGCAUUAGAAAAAUUUCGAUCAUAUCUCAUUGGUUGUAAAAUAAUUAUAUUCACGGAUCAUGCUGCUCUUAAAUAUCUUCUCACAAAGAAAGAUGCAAAAGCUAGACUAAUUCGUUGGGUGUUACUUUUGCAGGAUUUUGACUUUGAAUUCAAAGAUAAGAAAGGGACAGAAAAUGUUGUGGCGGACCAUCUCUCUCGUCUCCAUUUUGACACAAUUAUAGAACAAUUAUCAUUAAAUGAGUCAUUUCCAGAUGAACAAUUAAUGAGUGUGGAAGUAUUACCUUGGUAUGCUGAUAUAGUUAAUUAUCUUGUUACAGGUAAACUUCCAGAGCAUUGGACCAAGCAAGACAAGGCUAAAUUCUUUGCAGAGAUAAAGAAUUUCUUUUGGGAUGACCCGUAUUUGUUCAAGUAUUGUGCGGAUCAAAUUGUUAGACGAUGUGUCCCAGAAAGUGAAAUUCAGAAUAUCCUUUCAUUCUGCCAUGAACAAGCUUGUGGAGGCCAUUUCAGUGCUAAGAAAACAGCGACUAAAGUUUUACAAUGUGGUUUCUAUUGGCCAACUAUAUUUCGAGACGCUUACACUUUCUGUUCUUCAUGUGAUAGGUGUCAACAAAUGGGGAGCAUUACGCGAAGGAAUAUGAUGCCACUAAAUCCAAUUUUAGUGGUUGAGAUUUUUGACAUAUGGGGUAUCGACUUCAUGGGACCCUUUCCCCCUUCUUUUGGCCAUCAAUACAUAUUGGUUGCUGUUGACUACGUAUCAAAAUGGGUAGAAGCAAUUCCAUGUAGGACCAAUGAUCACAAGGUGGUGAUAGGAUUUUUGAAAAGCAACAUUGUCUCGCGCUUUGGAUUCCCUCGAGCAAUAAUCAGUGAUGGUGGUGCCCACUUUUGUAACAAAGCAUUCAAAGCUCUUUUGACAAAGUAUUCAAUCACACACAAAGUGGCGACCCCGUAUCAUCCGCAAACCAGUGGCCAAGUUGAGAUCUCCAAUCGAGAAAUAAAGCACAUAUUAGAAAAGACGGUGAGGCCGGACAGAAAAGAUUGGUCAUUAAGACUUGAUGAUGCCUUAUGGGCAUAUAGAACGGCUUUCAAGACCCCGAUUGGGAUGUCACCCUACAGGCUAGUGUAUGGAAAAGCUUGCCACCUACCUGUGGAACUCGAGCAUCGUGCAUAUUGGGCCAUCAAGAAAUUCAAUUUUGACAUGCAGCAAGCCAGCUCAGAAAGAAGAUUACAGCUGGCAGAACUUGAAGAAAUUCGCAAUGAUGCAUACGAAAAUGCCAAGAUUUACAAGCAACGAAUGAAAGUCUUCCAUGAUAAGCAAAUUAUGAGAAAAUCGUUCACUCCAGGUCAGAAAGUGCUUUUGUUCAAUUCUCGCUUGCACCUAUUCCCAGGUAAGUUACGCUCUCGUUGGUCUGGUCCCUUUAUUGUUCAUACUGUUUUUCCACAUGGGGCAAUUGAAAUUAAGGACCUAAAGAACGGUGUCACGUUUAAAGUUAAUGGUCAAAGAUUAAAGCCAUAUCUAGAAUACCAACCACGUGGAGAAGACACCGAAAUAAAUUUGAGUGACCCACCAGAUUUAAAUUGAUUUUUUUUCUUUCUUUUCGUUGAUUUGAUUUUGUUUUCUUUCUUUAUAUUAUUCUUUUGCUAAUUGAAAUUGUUUUUGCAUAAGUGUGUUUAUUUUACCAUUAAGUUUUCUCUUAUCAUUUUUAAUCAUGAGUCUCAUGCUUAGACCGUUCCUCCUGAACAUUCUUAAACCACUUCAACGUGUCAAAACUCAUCUUAAAAGGCAGAUUCAAUUUUGUAAAACACAACGCAUUUGGGCUCUACAACCACCAGAGUUAGUAGCCUAUGUUGAGGGUUUAGAACGCCAACUCAGAGACAUUAAGAGAAGUGUUUACGACAUCCAGUUGGAGCUUGAGGUAAAUUCAAUAAGAGGACGAUUUUAAUUUUCUUUGUGUGUUUUAAUUUGUUUUUCUAUUUGUGUGCUUUAGUUUAUUACCCCGGUGAAGUGGCGGAUAACGGUACUCCGUGACAAUCAAGUCGGUUACUUCAGUUUCCCAUAAUAAUUGAUAUUCUGAGGCGAAGGUAUGGACAAAAACGAGAUUCUAUCGAAACUUCACAAGCGAUUCCCUUCACUUCCUCAGAAUGCCCUCCUUACAAUCUAUAAAGCUCGGUCCGAACGCAUGCGAUUACUCAUGAGGAAUAACAUACCUGCUGACAUCCGUUGGUUAAUCGAGGCUAAAGUACGAUCGGCAGGUGAGUUACCUCCAAAAUUUAUUGCAUACAUGCCUGGUUGUGGUAAAGGAAAUUAUGCAAGAAAACGACGAGCUCGAAGAAUUUCUGUUGCUUGUCAUAAGUGUGCCAGAAUGAGUUGCAAUAAAAACCCAUGUUCUUUAGGAAUGAUGUCUGAUAACAGGGAAGAUAAGAUUCAAUUCAUUAGGGAUGGCUUGAAUAAGGAGUCAUUGGAUGAUAUCCUUUUGUCUCUUGAAACGCAUCCCAGUGGAUAUGUGCAAGUAGCGAUUCUCCAGUUAUGGCCAUUAUUCCAGAAAGAGCAUGCACGAUAUAGUCUCGGGAAUCUGACUAUAAACGACCCUGUUUGCCAGUUUAUAAGAAAGCUGGAUAGAAAGCCUAUCCUCGACCCAUAGAGGGCGUUCAAGCCGUUUCUGGACGUAAAACCAGAGGAAGAUGUGAGCCACAGUCGCAACUACCUGUAAAUAUCCUUUUACUUUAUUGUUAUUUUAUUUCACUAUUGUCUUAUUGUUUGCAUUAUUGUCUUUAAUAAUUUUAUUACUGUUUGCUUUUUCCUUUUUACUGUUUUCUUUUUGACUUGCGAGCCACGUGCUUUACGCGUUAUUUGACACUGACAUAUUACCUCAUACACAACCAUGACCCACUAUCACCAAGACUCUUAAAUGUGAUUUCUUUUUUGUCAAGCACUCACAAAUUGUUUUCGAGAAGUAUCACAAUGGCAGCUACUCCCAAUAGACAAUUCAAGAACAUUUGUGUGCUUUCUGGAUUUACCUAUGGCAAACAUAAAGAGUUCGUUGAGGCAGCCAUAGAUCUUGGUCGAAGCAUAGCAGCGAGAAAAUUACACUUGGUGUAUGGAGGAGGUAAUCGAGGGUUAUCAAAAAUGGUCUCAGAAGCAGCUUUUAUCAGAGGAAGUCAAGUGUUAGGCAUCAUCCCAAGAGUCUUAAAACCAUUGGGCAGUUCGUCUGACUCAUCAACUGAAGAAGAGUUAGUCGUCUCAGGUAUGCAGGAAAGAAUAACUGAAAUGCUUAAUCAUGCUGAUGCUUUUAUUUUCCUUCCAGGAGAUCUUGCAACACUAGAGGCACUUAUCACGCUAGCAUCUUGGGCCCAUCUGCACAUCCACCAGAAACCCAUCGGUUUGUUAAAUGUCAAUAACUUUUAUGAUGGCUUUAUCGCAUUUCUUAACCAUGCAAUAAAAAACUAUUUCAUUCCCUCUAAUGCGAAAAAACUCUUUAUUUGUGCUCACACUGCUACUGAGCUACUUGAUAUGUUACAAGCUUAUAAACCGGAGCCAGACCCCUGGACCUUUGUGUUGGAGCGACCAAAUAAUGAUGGUAACAGUAGCCGCAGUAAGAAGUACAAAUUAGAUUUAACUCUCCGCCUGUAAAUAUUUUCUUCUGUGUUGCACCACCUAGGUGAUGUCUUCUAAACUCUACUUCUUUCAUUUCACACAUUGAGGACAAUGUUUCGUUCUGGUUGGGGGGAGGGAAUAGUCGACAAUUGUGGAAUUUUGGUUAAGUUUUUACUAAUUUUUUGUUGUAGAAACUAAUUGUUGCUAACUUUUUGUGUUGAAGAUGGCUGAAUAUGGAGUGUAGUGACUCUAGAAACGCAUCUUCAUCGUUUAAAAAAAAAAUUUUAAAAAAAAAAACUUAAAAAAAAAAAUUCAAACAUUUUCUUUUUCUUUAUUAUGUGUUUAUGUUUAUUUUUCUUCUUUUUAAUUUCUCCCCUAUAAAUAUACAUUUUCUAACUUUUGAGUCGAAGAUGGCUGAAUAUGGAGUGUAGUUCCUCUAGAAACGCAUCUUUUUUUUUAAAAAAAAAAAAUCAUUUUCGUUUUCUAUCAUUUUACGUGUAACUUUUCUAAUUAGUUUGUAUGCAUCAUUUUCACAUUUCUGCAUGCAUAUUUUCCUUUCAUGCUUAGAAUAGAUUGGGGGGUAGAAUGUUGUUUGAAAAAAAAAAUUGUUGUUUGAUUUAUUUUAACAUUGGAUGACAUGAUUAAUUUCAAAUUUUAGUAUUUGUAUUAUCUUUGGUCUUAAGUGAUGUUACAUUAUGUUUGCUACUCUACAUGUUGAUGUUGGAGACAAAUAUGAGUUGCUUGAAGGAAUGAACAUGUCAUAAUAAAUACCAAGUGAGUUUUUGAGCCUAUCAUUUUUCUUGGAGAGUAACCCUUUUGCCCAUUCUCUAUACAGCUUAGCAGUUUAUUAUUUUAUACACGAUCUCUAGAUUUCUUUUGAGUUAACCCUUAAAAAAAAAUGGUAAAAUAAAAAAAAAGAAAAAGAAAAAAAAUGUGUGUUGCUACAUUGGGAGGCCCAUCUAACUAGUAGAUAUGGAUGAUUAUUUAGAGCCCUAAAAGACGAUGGAAAGGCCAUCUUUGAUCUGUUUGAGCCUUUCUAGCCAUCCCUUUUGUGAUAUAUCCAUAGUUAACCCUUUUGAGCCUUUAAAAAAUAAAUAAAUAAAUAAAUGAAAACCUUUUCUUUGUCAACUUAUCAUCUUGACCCACUCCGAUUUGGAGUAUUACCCGAUGUCUUAUAAGGUCCAUCACCUAUUUAUGUUUGAGAAAAAUAUAAAUAAUUAUUUUGUUCAGUGAAGUUGUGCCAAAUAAAAGCAAAAAAAAAAAGAGAAAAAAAAAACAAAACAAAAGUUGUUGUUUCAAAAGAAUAAAAAUAACAAUAAUAGGUGAAAUCCACCUUGCAAAAAAAAAAAAAAAUUCUCUGCAUUUUUCUCAAACAUACACUUUGUUUUCCUUAUUUCCCUUCUUUGUUAACCAUGUCCCUAGCCUACGUUACGUCCUAAUAAAAGUCCUUCUUGAUUUUAGGGAACUAUAGUCCGAAGUAGAAGCUAGUUAUAUGGGCUAAAAAGAUGUAGUGAUGCAUAAUUAAAAAAAAAAAAAAGAUAAAUAAAGUGGGUUGACUAACAUUUUAUUUGACUUGAGAUCGUAUUAUUUCUAAACUGAGGGCAUAUUUAUUUCAUCUUGGUGAGAGCAUGUGAUAUCACUUCUUUAUUAUUUUCUCUCUCAAUUACCAUUCAUUGGAGUGACUAUUUUUAUUGAGUUUAAUUUAUUUGUGAGAAUGUCACUACUUCCAGUGAGAUUUUGGGGUUGACAUGUCAUUCUUGAAAGUAGCUAUAACAAAGUCUACUGGGCUAAUUCAUGUGGAUGGUUGAUGUGAGUGUGAUGUUGCUUUAGACUGGAGAUAAUGCUUAUACUUUUAUUUGAUUGCUAUCAUUAAUCUGAUUGAAUAAACACGAGUGUUUCUAAAAAAAAAAAAAAAAAUCAUUUUGAAUUUGAAUUUUGUUUUCGCUUUAUUUGCUAGGGACUAGCAAUAAGCUGGUUGGGGGGUGUGUUGAGUGUUAGAAAAUGCAUAUUUAUAAAGGAGAAAACCGUCAUUUUACAUUUCAAGUCUUACUAACAACCCUUAUUUUUAUGUAUUUAACCUUCUUGUGAUUUAAUUACAUGUGUUUUAUUUUAAUUAAGUAUUUUAUGUAUUUUAGGGGCAUUAUAGUCAUUUCACAAUAAAGGAGAAAUCAGACGGCAAAACGGACAUCACUUUUGAACUCAGGACGGUCAAAAACCUUAGGAGGAGCAUAAAAGGAAAAAUGGCACUAUUCACAUGUGCGGUACUAUUCACGUGUACGGUACUGUCUACGUUACUGUUCACGACAAUGUUCACAUAGACGGAUGAUGACGUGGCAUUGACCGAUGAUGUGGCAUUGACUGAUGAGGUGUCACGAUCCUGUUGGACUAAAAUUCUUAUGUACUGUUGAUGGUGACGUGGCAGCAUAUCAGUGGACGAAAAAUCUCGUGUACGGUGCAUGCAUCACACAGGAUUAUUUUCAACCAAACCGCGUUACUGUUCAUCCGGGUCAAACCGUGUUACUGUUCAUCCGCGUGGUCAAACCGUGGACUGUUGACUGAUGACGUGGCGCAAUCCUGAGCGUCCAAACUGUUUUUAAUCCGAUGGCCAUGAUUUACUCCAUGUAUCUAUAAAAAGGGGGCCUCUCCCCCCUAAUUUGAUAUCUCUGAAUCCAUUUUUGGGAUCCAUUUUCUGUAAUUCCCUCUCCAUCUUGUAUUUUCUUCGUAUUUUAAUAAAUUCUCAUUUUGCCCCUAGUUCAACUAUGAGUGGCUAAUUUUCUUUCAAGCUUGGGUUGAAGGUGAAGUCUCAACAUGUGUCAUGGGCUUUAUUUGGUAAAUUUAUUUUCUCUUCCCCUCUAGUUUUUGUGGAUGUUUUGACUUCUCGUCGACAAAUAAUACUAAUCUUGUCUAGUACCGCAUUGGUUUCACCGGCCCUCUAGUACAAGGUUAUUAUUAUUUGGCACGAUAAGCCCUUAGCACCAUAUUGAUUAGAGCGUGGUUCAUGAGGUGUGGAUUCCCCCCUCAUGAUUUAAUUGGCAUUAAUACGGAUUAUUUAGCCCAUGAUGCAUGUUGAUACGGAUCCGAAUACCCAAGUACGUCAAUUUAAUAGAUUUUCUCUUCAAUUUAUUCUCGCCAUUUCAAUUCCAAUUUUAGAAUUUAUUCUUGCCAUUUUAAUUUAAGUUUUUGCAUAUUUCAAAUCAUUUCCACCAUAAAUCCAACCACCCAUUUACAAAAUUAAUUCUAUACACAAUUAAAAUCCACCUCCUCGUGGGAUCGACACUCGUCACCAUAGAUCUAUACUACAAUAGAUUCGUGCGCUUGCGAGUACAUUAAAAUUUGCACAACAGUCGGUAUCCUCAGUGUCCCACAAUAAUUGAGAUCUCAAAAUCAAGUAUGGAAUAAAUACAACAUAAAUUACGUAAGUGUUUUCCUUCUCUCCCUCAAAAUGCACUAAAAAAAUUUUACAAAGCUCGUUGUGAAAGAUUGUAUUUGUUGAUGAUCAAUGGAAUUCCUCUUUAUAUUUGUUGGUUAAUAGAAGCAAAGGUUUGAUUAGCUGGUGAGUUUCCUGAUCCAUUUAUUUCUUACAUGUCUGGUUUUAGUAAAAGCAUAUUUACUAAAAAAAGGAGAGCUAAAAGACUUGGCUCAGAAUGUCAUAACUGUGUAAGACUUAGUUGCAAAUGAGAAAUUUGUAAAUCUUUAGGAAAGUUCUCUGAUAAUCGAGAAGAUAAAAUUAAAUUCGUUAAAGAUGUCAUGAGUAAAGAAUCGUUAGAUGAUAUCUUACGAUCUCUUCAGAUGCAUUAAAGUAGGCAUGUGCAAGAUGAGAUUCAUAGGUUAUGGAGACUAUUCCAAAAAGAAAGCGCACAUUUUAGUCUAGGGAAUCUGACUAAAAAAGACCAUGUUUGCCAAUUUAUAAGAAAACUGGAAACGAAGCCUAUCCUCAACCCUUGGAGGGCAUUCAAAUCGUUACUGGACAUAAAACCAGAGGAAGAUGUGAGCCACAAUCACAACUACCAGUAAAUAUCCUUUAAUUUUGUUGUUAUUUUAUCAUUUACGUUAUUGCAUUUAGUGGUGUGAUUUUGUAUUUAAUCAUUUAUGUUUUCUUUUGCUAUUUGCUUUUUCUUUUUACUGUUUGCUUUUAAAUUAUUGAGACAUGAGCUUUACGCGUCAUUGGACAAAUAUGCCAACCCAUUAAUAGUUGUUUCUCAUUUUUUCUGUCACUAAGAUAUUUAAAUAUGAGCUCUUUUUCGAAACACUCACAACUUGUUUUUGAAGAUUAUUUCAAUGACAUCAUCUUCAAGUAGACAAUUCAAAAAUAUUUGUGCGCUCUCUGGAUUUCAUUAUGGGAAAUACAAGGAGUUCGUUUAGGCAGCUGUAGAUCUUAGUCGUGUCAUAGCUGAGAGGAAACUACACCUUGUAUAUGGAGGAGGUGACUGCGGGUUAUCAAAAUUUGUCUGAAAAGCUAUUUUUAUUAAAGGAAACCAGAUGCUAGGUAUCAUUCCACAGGCCUUAAAACCUUUGGGAUGCUUGUCCAACCCACUAAUUGGAGAAGAGUUAGAUGUCUCAAGUAUAGAAGAGCGAAUAUCUGAGAUGUUAAAUCAUGCUGACGCUUUCAUUUUCUUGCCAAGAGAUUUGCAACUUUAAAGGCCCUGAUUACAUUUGCAUCUUUGUAGAGAAGAAAGGGAAAUAAUGGGAAAUUAAUCUGAAGACAGGAGAAAUUCCUUUUUGUCUUCGGAUUCCAGAUUCCUAUUCCCGAAGAGAGAGAGAGAAUUUUAGAGAGAAGGGAGAGAAGAAGAGAGAGAAGUUCUAAACUUAGAAAUGAAAAACCUGAGGAGUCUGAGUCUUCCUCUCGGUUUUUAUACAAAGAUCUUUAAACUGUUCACUUUAGCGAGAUUUUAAGUGCACAAUAAACUCUGGAAAUCUGCACUGUUCACUGUAGCGGAGUUUUAAGUGCACAGUAACAUUUGGAUCGUAUCUUUGAAUAGUUGAUUCUUUGUACAAAAAUUGAAAUACGAUACGGGUGAAGAGACAUGUGCGCUCUCACUUGUGUCCAGAGGACCACCCGAAUAUACAGAACAAAUUUUUUUUUUAAGUAAAUAACUAAAUAGUUAUUUACAAUGCUUUAAAGGAGAAAAAAUUCCAAAACAAUCAUCUUCAUUUUCGUCUCCAAGAGAAAUGAAUGGCUCUUCAUCUUCAUCUUCAUCUUCGUCUUCAGAGGUGUCAGCCACUGAUGACUUUGACCGGGAGGCGAGGAGCUGUUCCAUGGCUUUGAAGUAUUCUUCUUCUGUUUUGGCACCUGCCAAUAGUGAUUGGGCUUUGGACUUUUGGGUUAAAAAGGUUUGUUGGGCUUUUGAAUGUGUUAUGGUGGGUUGAAGAAGGCCUUUGGCAGAGAGCCAAUCUCGGACCAAAUUUUCAGUCAAUUUUGACUGUUCGUCAAAUUUGGACCACCAUUUUACUUUAAAGGUUCUUUGAAGGAUGAGUUGGGAAUCUUGGGUAUGAAGCCUAAGGUUCCACAUCCAUACCCAUGGAAGGAAGAAAUUUGUACAGAAACAGAGAAAGUGGGGAAACCUUUUCUCGGAUUCAGAAGGAGUAUAGUGGGCUUUGAAGAGGUUUAAACAAUGAGUGGCAUUCGGGGUUAAAAUUUGUGGUAUUGGGCCAAAAGUAUUCCACCAAUGAUGGAACCAGUUUGAAAGGCUUUGGACGGUUAUUUUUGGGUUGAAGAAAAAUAACCAAGAAUGAGAUUUUUUGGGAUUUUGGAUAAAAAAUGUGUUAUACCAGGCUUGUUGGUAAUCCCAGUAGGAAUAAGUCCGAUAAUGAGGUAAACGUGUUUGAAAAUUUAAAGGGAAAGUUUUAAAAUUAUGGAGUAGGUCACCCCAUUGGUUUGGGCUCAAAACUUUUAAAAUAGUAGCCGUGGAAUAGGCUGGUUCCGAAUGAGAUUCACUGAGAAAGAAAUGUUUGAACUUAACUGAAUCAGUAAUUUCUAAAAUGCUUUGAUAGUAGGAUUGGGGUUUUGUUAAAUCCCAUGGUUUAAAAAACCAGCCCUUAGGGAAAAAGUUUGAAAUUGCUUGGAAAGGAUCAGCAUGGUAAAAUCCAUCUUCUAAAGAAAGAAUAUUUUGAAAAUGGGUUUUAUCAAACCAAUCGGAGGUUUUCUUUGAAGGUGAUGGUUGGGAAAGCACAAUUUGGGAAGAAGAGCUUUCACCAGAGACAAUCACAUUUUGAGAAGAGGGUUUUGAGAUUUCUUUGGAGAUAGGGUUUUCUUUUUGUUCUUUUGAGAAAAUCUGGCUUUGGGAAAGGUUUUGUAAGGCGAGCAUAAGCUCAGGGGACUUUGUAAUGGAACUCAUCCAUUGUUUUACUUGGUCAUCAGAAGAAGUGGUUUUGUAAUGGGCACUAUGUUCUUCAACCAUUUCUAUCCAAGAUUUAAUAGGCAUGGCUGAGGAAAGUAAUUUGUCUUUAGAAGGGGUAGCUUGGGGUUCUUUAGAGGUUGCUCUAGAUUCAGAAUCUUUAAGAACAACUUUACCUUUGUCUUUCUUCUUUGGCGGCAUUAUCUGUUUAGAAGAAAUUCCCGAGUUAGAAAAUCAGGAAUAAAAUUUGUAUCACCUUUAAUAUAUUCAAUAUCGAAAUCAAAAACACUUAAAAUGGCUUGUCAUCGUGCAAAAAUCUGUUUUGAUGCAAUAUUUUGAACAUCUUUUUUCCAAAACAUGUUUUGCAGCUUUGCAAUCAAUUCUAAGUAGAAAUUUUUGAUUUAAUAAAUCACUUUGAAAUUUU